ACUGUUCGUCGCCACCGACGCCGAAGGCGCCGGAGCAGGAGGAUUUGGAUACUCAUACUCCCCCAGGCAGCGACGGCGACGCGGCGGCCGGCGAGGGCGAGGGCGAGGGAAAGGAGUCCCUGGAAAACCCGCUGGUGUCCAUGGAGUGCUUCAUCUUCCUGUGACAUGACAGUAACACUAGACCUGCCUGCCUGCUCUCGCCCGUCCCUCCCACAGUAAGUAAUCAAUCAGCGUACUCCAUUCCGUUGUCACAGUUAGGAGUAACCAGAUUUAGAAGCCGCGCUGUUUUGGUGAAUGUAUUUCUGCUGGCAACUUCUUCCCGGGCUGGAAUUUUGUAUCCCGGGAAAGAAACCAGUCCCAGCUCAUUGGUGUGCUCUGUAUAACUACUUCCUGCCUCUGCCUCUGCCUCUGGUGUCCUGUGUAAUCUGUAGAAUGUAGCUAAUCCAAGCAAGCCAGGCCACUGUAUCUCUCUGUAAUGAACUGCAUUGCAUUAAUACCUCUUUUCCGUUCCUAGUACUACAUUGAUUGCACUCGGAUCUAUCUUGUGCAAGCAAAGCUGGAGUUGCCACUUAUGUCCGAUCCGAUCCAUGGACCAUCCACGGCCGUUUCUUCCUCGUUGCAUGGUCCAUCACGACCAGUUCGCCGGGGCAUUCAAUGGCUCCUCAUCCGCAUCCGCCCAGCUCAAUAACUUGGCUCAACGGCUUUGCACUCCCAAGGCACGUCCCGGUGCACCGUGCACGUACUCCUUCCCAGAUGCACACUCAAUGUCUGCGGUGACGAUCGGCGACGUCUAGCCACAUGAGCCACGGAGUGGCGAAUCGCCGGAGCUGUGGGUGCUUGCUUGCUCUGGGCCGGGGCCGCCACCUUUUUUCGCGCCAUGCCGCCUUGGCUGCCAUGCGCGCGCGCGCCCAGCAAAGCCAAACUGUGGUGUCCAUCAGCAACGUUUACGUCGGUGUGCGCGCCCACCAUCGCACCCGCCGCCUGUCGGCCGCUCGCCGUUGUCGCCACCCCGGUGGCGCCCGAUCGAUUAUUUUACCGCGCUGGGUGCCUACUGCCACAGGACAGGAGCACGCACAGCGGCCACGGUGCGAUGGUGCACUGUGCUUGCUUGGCCCUUUUGCGCUUGCUUUUUGCGGUGUGGUACGGGGGGGAUCGCGGCGGAAUCUGGUGGCCGGGAACGGUGGGGGCGCGCGGCGCCCGUGCGCGGCGGCCCCGAUGCGUGGCCGGCCGGCGUGCUGCGCUUUCUGCCGCCACCGAGGCAGGGAAAGCUUUUGAGCCUUUGCAGCAGGCGGCAGCUGAGCUGAGGCAGAGGAAGCUCGCAGUUUAUCGACCCCCCGCGUAGAACCAAUGGUAAAAAGGGCUGCACGCAGUGGCAUGCUCAGGCUCGUCGGGCUCGGCCUUUUUCACCCGCGUCGCUGCGCUCUGCUCGCUGCUGCACAGUAACGGUAACUGUCAUACUUCUAUACAAAUGACAUAUAAAUACCAAAAAUGCUAGACUUAUUCGUAUCACUUGUACAUAAAGUUACGGGCCUUCUUUAUCCAAUGCUAAGAGCAUCUUCAAUAGAUGUUCAAAAUUUGACGGUCCAAAACCGAAGAUGUAAAAUUUGAACCGCCAAAAAAUACGUUUUGAAGCUUCGAAAAAAGCUUAACUCCAACAGAUGGUCCAAAUUGAUUGUCUAAAAGAGCAACUUCAAUAGAUGGUCCAAAAUGAAGAUGUAAAAUUUCUUAAAAUGACAAACUACUUGGCCAUUCAACAUAGUUCAAACAUCAAAUUCAACAUAGUUUCAUACAUGAACUUCAACUACUACUUCAAACUACUAGAUAGACUACUCCUCAUCGUCGGAGCUGCCGAACUGCUCCCAGAACUCCUCCUUCUCCGAGUCGUCGCACCUCUCCUCCUCCUCCUCCCCCGAGAAGUCUGCCCAGUCCUCCUCGGAAGAGGACUCGAUGGGGAUCACCGUGAGGGACCGGCCUUGUCCUCCUUCUUCUUCUGCUCCGCCUCAUGCUUCCAGUAGUGCUCCUGACAUCGAAGAACUUGAUGGGGAACGUCGCAUGGGAAACAAAAAUUUUCCUACGCGCACGAAGACCUAUCAUGGUGAUGUCCAUCUACGAGAGGGGAUGAGUGAUCUACGUACCCUUGUAGAUCGUACAGCAGAAGCGUUAGAGAACGCGGUUGAUGUAGUGGAACGUCCUCACGUCCCUCGAUCCGCCCCGCGAACAAUCCCGCGAUCAGUCCCACGAUCUAGUACCGAACGGACGGCACCUCCGCGUUCAGCACACGUACAGCUCGACGAUGAUCUCGGCCUUCUUGAUCCAGCAAGAGAGACGGAGAGGUAGAAGAGUUCUCCGGCAGCGUGACGGCGCUCCGGAGGUUGGUGAUGAUCUUGUCUCAGCAGGGCUCCGCCCGACCUCCGCAGAAACACGAUCUAGAGGAAAAACUAUGGAGGUAUGUGGUCGGGCAGCCGUGAGAAAGUCGUCUCAAAUCUGCCCUAAAAGCCCCAUAUAUAUAGGAGGAGGGAGGGGGACCUUGCCUUGGGGUCCAAGAGACUCCCAAGGGGUCGGCCGAGCCAAGGGGGGGAGGACUCCCCCCCCCCAAACCGAGUUGGACUUGGUUUGGUGGGAGGAGUCCCCCUCCCUUCCCACUUCUUCCCUUCUUUUUUUUCUUUUCCUUUGAUUUUCUUAUCUUGGCGCAUAGGCUCCCUUGGGGCUGUCCCACCAGCCCACUAAGGGCUGGUGUGUCCCCCAAAAGCCUAUGGGCUUCCCCGGAGUGGGUUGCCCCCCUUCGGUGAACUCCCGGAACCCAUUCGUCAUUCCCGGUACAUUUCCGGUAACUCCGAAAACCUUCCGGUAAUCAAAUGAGGUCAUCCUAUAUAUCAAUCUUCGUUUCCGGACCAUUCCAGAAACCCUCGUGACGUCUGUGAUCUCAUCCGGGACUCCGAACAACAUUCGGUAACCAACCAUAUAACUCAAAUACGCAUAAAACAACGUCUAACCUUAAGUGUGCAGACCCUGCGGGUUCGAGAACUAUGUAGACAUGACCCGAGAGACUCCUCGGUCAAUAUCCAAUAGCGGGACCUGGAUGCCCAUAUUGGAUCCUACAUAUUCUACGAAGAUCUUAUCGUUUGAACCUCAGUGCCAAGGAUUCGUAUAAUCCCGUAUGUCAUUCCCUUUGUCCUUCGGUAUGUUACUUGCCCGAGAUUCGAUCGUCAGUAUCCGCAUACCUAUUUCAAUCUCGUUUACCGGCAAGUCUCUUUACUCGUUCCGUAAUACAAGAUCCCGCAACUUACACUAAGUUACAUUGCUUGCAAGGCUUGUGUGUGAUGUUGUAUUACCGAGUGGGCCCCGAGAUACCUCUCCGUCACACGGAGUGACAAAUCCCAGUCUUGAUCCAUACUAACUCAACUAACACCUUCGGAGAUACCUGUAGAGCAUCUUUAUAGUCACCCAGUUACGUUGCGACGUUUGAUACACACAAAGCAUUCCUCCGGUGUCAGUGAGUUAUAUGAUCUCAUGGUCAUAGAAAUAAAUACUUGACACGCAGAAAACAGUAGCAACAAAAUGACACGAUCAACAUGCUACGUCUAUUAGUUUGGGUCUAGUCCAUCACGUGAUUCUCCCAAUGACGUGAUCCAGUUAUCAAGCAACAACACCUUCUUCAUAAUCAGAAGACACUGACUAUCAUCGAUCAACUGGCUAGCCAACUAGAGGCAUGCUAGGGACGGUGUUUUGUCUAUGUAUCCACACAUGUAAAUGAGUCUUCAUUCAAUACAAUUAUAGCAUGGAUAAUAAACUAUUAUCUUGAUACAGGAAUUAUAAUAAUAACUAUACAUUUAUUAUUGCCUCUAGGGCAUAAUUCCAACAGUCUCCCACUUGCACUAGAGUCAAUAAUCUAGCCCUCACAUCACCAUGUGAUUUACAUUGUAAUAAAUCUAACACCCAUACAGUUCUGGUGUCGAUCAUGUUUUGGCCGUGGAAGAGGUUUAGUCAGCGGGUCUGCUACAUUCAGAUCCGUGUGCACUUUGCAUAUAUUCACGUCCUCCUCCUCGACGUAGUCACGGAUGAGGUUGAAGCGUCGUUUGAUGUGUCUGGUCUUCUUGUGAAACCUUGGUUCCUUUGCUAAGGCAAUGGCACCAGUGUUGUCACGGAACAAGGUUAUUGGAUCCAGUGCACUUGGCACCACUCCAAGAUCCGUCAUGAACUGCUUCACCCACACACCCUCCUUAGCCGCCUCCGAGGGAGCCAUGUACUCCGCUUCACAUGUAGAAUCUGCUACGACGCUUUGCUUGGAAUUGCACCAGCUUAUUGCACCCCCAUUAAGAAUAAAUAUGUAUCCGGUUUGCGACUUAGAGUCGUCCGGAUCUGUGUCAAAGCUUGCAUCAACGUAACCUUUUACGGCGAGCUCUUCGUCACCUCCAUACACGAGAAACAUCUCCUUAGUCCUUUUCAGGUACUUCAGGAUAUUCUUGACCGCUGUCCAGUGAUCCACUCCUGGAUUACUCUGGAACCUGCCUGCCAUACUUAUGGCCAGGCUAACAUCCGGUCUAGUGCACAGCAUUGCAUACAUGAUAGAGCCUAUGGCUGAAGCAUAGGGGACGGAGCGCAUAUGCUCUCUAUCUUCAUCAGUUGCUGGGCACUGAGUCUUACUCAAUCUUGUACCUUGUAACACUGGCAAGAACCCUUUCUUGGACUGUUCCAUUUUGAACCUCUUCAAAACUUUACUCCAACAGAACUCCACUCCCCAGUUACCGGAGGGCUUCUGCCUCACGCCGAAGAAGCCGGACUUGCCCUUCGGCGUCUUCUUCGGCGCCAUCGGAGAGCGGUGGAGCGGCGGCGGCGUGCGGCCGGAGCGGUGGCGGACGGAGCCGGGCGGGGCAGAGCUGCGGGGCGGUGGCGGACGGAGCCGGGCGGGCCGGAGCUGCGGGGCGGUGGCGGACGUAGCCGGGCGGGGCAGAGCUUAGGGGCCGCUGAUGACCCACAAGUAUAGGAAAUCUAUCGUAGUCCUUUUGAUAAGUAAGAGUGUCGAACCCAACGAGGAGCAGAAGGAUCUGACAAGUGGUUUUCAGCAAGGUAAUCUCUGCAAGCACUGAAAUUAUCAGUAACAAGUAGUUGUGUGUCAAGAUGAUUCGCAGCAAGUAGCAAGUAACAAAAGUACCAACGGUACAGCAAAGUGUCCCAAUCCCUUUUGUAGCAAGGGACAAGCCUGGAAACUCUUAUAGGAGGUAAAGCACUCCCGAGGACACAUGGGAAUUUCUGUCAAGCUAGUUUUCAUCAUGUUCAUAUGAUUCGUGUUCGCUACUUUUUACAUAUGGACCGUCUGUUAGAGUUGCAUUUUUGGCCUCAGGCGGUCCAAAAGUUAGCUACUUUUACAUUUGGACCAUCUAUUGGAGAUGCUCUAAAACUGCCCCCCCCCCAUUUUCAGGGAUGGGCCCGUGUCCUUCUUAAUCUCCAAUUAGAAACUGACUAAUCAUCCCACAACAUCCAUUAGCCCGUAAGAGCAACUCCAACGGGCCGACCCAAACGGGCAGCGAUUUCAUGCGCUUAUUGUUCAUUUGGGUCGGCCAGACGGACACGAACGUCGGCUUCCGUAAAUGGGUCGGCUUGUGCGUCCAACGCUGGCCGGAUCCAUUUUUUGCCGGCAAGAAGGAAAAAACAUAAUGCAUAAUUAAACAUUAAAAGCCGGCCACGAAGGCCGGCGAUAGUCCACGUGUCGCGUCCGCAUUACAUUAAAUAAAACUAAAAGAACACCUAAAACUACGUUCAUGCAGCCCUAGGCGGCGGCGUCGUCGUUGUUGGGGCCGGUGAGGUCGACCAGGGUUGGCGCAGGGCUGGCCCAGGGGAACGCCGAGUUCCAGAGCGCAGCUGCCUGCGCCUCCGUCGUCUGCCCCGCCGGCGCAGGCUGUGCUGGUGGCGGUGGCAGCGCAGUAGCACGGGCACGCUCCUCCUCCGCCGCCUCCCGUCGCUCCUCCUCCUCAUCCUUCUCCACCAGCAUGAGCCGCAGGCCUUCGACGCGCUCCGCCCGCAGGUGCUCCGACCUCCAGUGCCCGAGGUAGGCUUGCUCCUGCCGCGGGGUCGUGCCUAGCCAGAUGGGUGGCACCGUCACGAACUCCUGGAUGACGCCGGUCCACUGGUAGACCUCCUGCGGCUCCGCGGGCUCGGGCUCCGGCCGAGGUGGCACGACGCAGUCGCCGCCGGCCGACAGUGCGAUGGCCUCCGCGAGGUGCUGUUUGCUCGUCGGCCAUGCGUCGCGCUUGUUCCUCGCUGUCGCGGAGGACACCAGCGAGCGCCGCCUGGUAGGCGGCCUCAGCCUCCUGGUCCUCGUCGCUGACGACAGUGGGGCGGAGGGCCUCCUGGCUGCACUUCGCGCACGCCACGGCGGCGCCGCUCCUCGUGCUCCACGGCAAACCACACCUUCUAGUUAGGGGAGUCGGCCGCGUAUGUGGGGUCUCGUCGCUGCUCCGCCAUUAGUAGACGCCAUCGCUUGGUCACCUCCUCCGCAUGCACCCGCGCCGACCGCGGCACGGCCGGCACUGGAAUCCUCUCCGAAUCCAGAUGAUAGUCGUGCGGCAGCGUGACGUCGGAGUAAGGGAGUGGCAUGCGGUGCUCCCAGUGCCACCGUGCUUGGUGCACCAGGACGCUCACGCGCUGGCGAGGCCGGCGGGAAGACGACGACGGCGAGAUGGCGCGGGGGAAGAGCGGGGCCUUGCCCUUGUUUGGGUAGCCGUCGGCCAUGGUGUGCUAGGGUUUCGGUCGCUUGGUCACCGAGGAGGUGGCGAGAUGGGGCGGGGGAGGGUUUUGGAAGCGGAUGGUGGAACUCACCGCACGCUCGAAUUAAAAAAGGCCGCCCGCGGUCGCCGACGCGUGGGCCCGAGGAUGGCGGCCAUCAUAAAUUAUGUUGACCGCGGUGAUUGGGGCGGACACCGAGGGGGCACGCGCGCGUCCGCGCCGACGCAAUUCAGUCCCAAAUUUGGGCCGGAAAUGGGUCGGCGCGGACGCGUUUUGGCAAUGGGUCGGUGCGUUGGGUCAUCUUUUUUGUCCGCGCCGACCCAAACGAACAGCGGCGGACGAAAUGGGUCGCCCCAUUGGAGUUGCUCUAAUUGCCCGUGGAUGUAGCAAAGCUCUACAAAUAGAGAUGUCUCGUGAUAAAUAAAAUAGCUUAAGGCUUUUAUAUUGACUUUUUUUUUCUGGAAUGCAAGCUAUCACAAAUGGGCUUCAUCAAAUAAUAAUUAAAAAACUCUAAUACACAUGCAUUUCUACUUUUCACUCUAAUUUUUUAUUUUUUUAUACCUUUUUCUUUAAGCAUCCGCCUUCUGCAAAGGAUUCCGCUUUCUUAUCCAAACCUAUUUUUCCUGACAUCCGAUCCUACAUGACAUACGAGGCAUCACCCUUCGGCUAUGCAUUGGUCAUGCCCCGAGGAGGCACAAGUGAACUAAUCAAUCGUUUAUGUGUGUAUGUGGGGUGGGGGGUGUAAAUUUGGUGUUUUUACCCUUUUAAAAAAGUUUAACCGGGACGUACCUAGCUUUAAAAAAAAUCAGGGUCUGAUUUUUUCUUAUCGCCAAGAAGCCGGUGAUAGGAUUUCACGGUAGGGAUGCACGUCAUACCAUAAAAACAAUUUAAAUAUCAAACAAUGUGCUUGUACUCAUAUAUGGGUGGACACUUUGAUGAUAGGGUUGCACAAACUACUGUGAGACUGUUUGGGUGUAGGGUCAUGCUGCGUUAACGUGGACAAGUUGCCUACUGUUAGGAGCCUUGCCGGUAGGAUGGUAUACUCUACUGCCAUGAACCCCGAUGGUAGGAAAAGUUCAGAUCCUGAAAUGUUUUUAAACUAGGAUCAAAUCUACGUAAACUUUCAUAAAAGGGUCAAAACACCAAAUUUUGUCGUGGGUGGGUGGUUACGUAAACUUGCUUACCUCUCAGUUGGGCAAAAAAAAACCUUGUUUAGGCUAAAACGUGGUAAUUUGGGUCUGAUUUAGAUUAGCUACUCAAAAGAAUUUGCCAUUGAUGUACACAAUAAAAAUUCCAUCAGUCCCUAACAAAAUAUCAUCAAGUUCAAAAAUGGAUCACGGGUACAAAGAGAUAUCUUGAUUUAUAUUUUUUUGGAAUUUUCAUGCCUUACGAACAAAUGACCGGAUAGUGGGGUAUGUUUAAACACAAAUUUGCCAUAUCUAAAUUUUAAAAAUGUCCUAUCACACAAAAAAGGGUGGUCGUGAUGCUUGUACCUUAAGAAUUGCAUACAAAAAGAAAUUUACCAUCAUAUGCUAAAAGAUGGCAUGUCCUUAUAAGAUUCGGUGCUCUACCAAAUAAAAAAAAUGCUCUAUAAAAAAAGGUUCUUUCAAAUAAAAAUGACAUGCUCUACAAAAAAAGCAUGCUCUUUAAAAUAAAAUGGCAUGCUCUUUAAAAUAAAAGAAUGAAUGGUCCAGAAAAAAUGUCAUGCUACAAAAACAAAGUACCAUUGCUUACUAAAUAAAAUUUCCAUGACAUGAAUGCUUAAAGUACCAUGGCCUAAUGAAUAAAAACACAUGGUGCAACUAUAGGAAAUUGACAUGGUACCUAAGAUAAAAACUAACACGUUAUGAAAAUGGUAAAAAUGGCAUGGUCUAAUUAGUGAAAUUACCAUGAUGCCUAUCAUAAAUUUGCAAAUGGCACUGCUAGCAUGGGCAAACCAUUAGUAUUAUCUUAUGGUGAUUAUCUACAUAAUUGCAUGAGAAAGCAAAUUGCCAUGGGAAGAAAAUUAGAAAAUGUUUCAUGCAAACAUUGCCAUGUGAGAACAUCCAUAAAUAAAUAUGCCAUGGUCUAAUGCAUAAAUAUUGUCAUGGUUACUUGAAGUGAAAAUGCGAUAGUCCAGAGCAUAAAUAUUUCCAUGGUUACAUGAAUUGAAAAUGACAUGGUCUAAUUUGAAAGAAAAUGCCAUUCACCAACUAAUAAAUAUGCCAUGGUAUAAUUUGAAAGAAAAUGCCAUUCACCAACUAAUAAAUAUGCCAUGGUCUAAAGCAUAAAUAUUGCCAUGGUUACUUGAAGUGAAAAUGCCAUGGUCUAAAGCAUAAAUAUUAGCCAUGGUUACAUGAAUUGAAGAUGCCAUGGUCUAAUUUGAAAGAAAAUGCCAUUCACCAACUAAUAAAAAUGCCAUGGUACCCAAAAUAAAAUUAUCAUGUUCUCAAUGGUACAAAUUCCAUGGUAUGAUUACUAAAAAAUGCCAUGGUGCCUAUGAUAAGACUACCACUGUCUAAUUAGUACAACAAUCAUACAAAAAGAAUGUUAGACGGUUUGUUUAAAAAACAUUUAUACUAUGAUGUGUAUACACUUUGCCAACACAAAAAGUUGCCCCGACAAGAUAUUAGUUUUUUUGCCAUGUCAACGGAAUUUUUUUAUUCCAUCACAACAUAUCACUUACAAAAAAUGAAGCCAUUCGGCCACAACCAAGAAUUAUGUGAAAAUGACAUCGUCCUAUAAGAAACAUAUCACUUAUACUACAAAAAGACAAACAAUUCUACAAAAAUGACUUGGGGAUAAAAAUGCCAUGGCAGAAAUAUAAACUUAUUGCCAUGGAAGAUUACUUGUUCUCUUCCAUCACAACAUAUCAAUUAGAGAGAAAAAAAUGUUGUGUGGCUACAAUCAAAAUUCUGUAAAAAUGUCAUCAUACAAAUUCUAUAAAUUUUUUGUAAAAAUGCCAUCACAAAAAUUCUAUAAAAUGUCAUCAUAUCCAUAUACUAUAAGAAGAACAAAUUCUACAAGAGGAUAAAGAAAACGCCAUGGCGAAAAAUAAAUUAAACCUAUUGCCAUGGGAGAUUUGCACGUAUUCAGAUUAGCUGAAUAAAUGCACUUUACUGUGAGCUAAAAAAAAGGGGUGGGGGAGAGAUUUGCGUUACAGGAAGAGGGAUGCAUCAACCAUGCAUUGGUCCGGAGUCGGUCGGCAUUCUUUCUCGCGCUCUCAUCUCAUCCGCUCGUGAAAUGAAAUGGGGGAAGAGGCAAUGACCGCCAAACCUGGGAGAGGGUAAGGUCUGGUCGUCUUCACCCGUUCGUGCCAACACACUCUAUAGCAAACAAAAAAAAACACAAGGUGCCAAGUUCUGGUGCUUCAAUAUUAUCAUGAUUUUCGAUGGAACGUCAGCCAAAUAGCAUUUGGUUUUUGUUUCUGAGAGAGAAUUCUACCCUUCAUCGGUCUGAGUGUCCCGACAGGGUGAACGAAACGAGGAAGCGGGCUCUGGCAUAAAAUGACACCAAUGAAAUAACCCAAACAGGCUGGUGUUUCAUGAAAGCCCACCAAAAGGCCCAAGUGCUAACAACCUCACCGCAGUUGCCACUGUGCGUCUGUGCUACCCCCCUAAAAAAAACUGUGCUGGCAAAAACCGUACCUUGUACAAAUUUUUUGUCGAGAAUUUUUUGUGCAAGGAAUUUAUUUUCUCCCUCAAGUUAAACAAAAGGGCUAACGGAGUUAUCCAUACAAGCACACACGAAAAGAGAAGAAAAAAAAACGAUUAGCUCAUCUCAACAAGCACAACGGAGCAAGUCCAGACCCGAAUCUUGAGCCUCCGCCUGUCAACGGAAUUGACAAGUUUCCUCCUCUCCUUGUUUAUAUCCCAAGAGUCCCUGACCACAGCCAGGUAUGUCUCCCAGCAAAAAUGGUGCUGGGACUUGCUUGUACAGCAAAAAAGCUCUCAUGCGGCUGAUGUUGCCCCCUCCCACUUGUUCACCACCUCUUUCAACUGCUCAAAUCCCUGAAAUGCAACAGACGGGUAAGACAGGAGUAAGCAAGUGUUCUGGGUUGUUGCUAGGCAGUGGGCACAAGUACACUAGCACCUACUACAGGCUAUGUCGACACACAUAUUGCUCAGCUUAGGCAUUUCCCGGUAUCAAAACUAUCGUUAACUGCCAAGCCAUAUCAAUUAGUCCAGCGCUUAUACUGAUGACAACUAACAGAAAGCAACAAUUUAACAAUCUUGCUAGUUUGUACUACCCUCUGUACACUAAUGUAAGGAACUGCAAAAACGUCUUACAUUAGUGUACAGAGGGAGUACAAUUUAGUAAGCAACUCCCAGAUGAAUGGUGCUCUGUACAGAGCAGGGAAGAGACAACAUUUGGGGGCUUCUAAAUGUCUCCCUUAUUCUCUCGGAAAGUCCAAACAAUUCCUUCCCUCCCAAAUGACUAAACUGCAAUAGUAUUUGAUGGAAGAACAGAAUCCGCUCACCAUUCUGUUCGUGAAGCUCCCAAAAGAUUCGCCUUCCUGGCGCGUGCUAUUCCAAUAGGAAAACAGUGGUUCCAAAACCUUCUCAAUAUCUUGAAGCUUCACUUUAUUCAUGAAAGUUUCUGCCAAGGUGGUCUGGUUUGGUGUUCCUCCAAGCCAGAUCUACGGUCACAAUAAAGAAAAGCUCAAUUGAGAAAAAUAAAAUAUGCAAACAAAAUCAUGAAUGUGAACAAAAAGGAAGUAUCACUGUUUGCAUAAAUGAUGUCAGAACUAUUUCGGCAUUAUUUUACCUGAUAACUGUUUGGGCCGUCACCAACAAAGCCAACCUCGGCCAUGUAUGGUCUGGCGCAUCCAUUAGGGCAGCCAGUUAUCCUCACCACUACAGACUCCUCUUCCUUGAUGCCAACCUAUUAAGCAAGCAACAUUAACCUAAUUAUUAAGUGACAAGACAGGUACAAACUAUGCACUACAUAUUCUAUCUCAAGUGUUAAAGUUGAUUGAUUUUCGACGGGACAACAAAUGAAUACCUUGUCGAAAACUGCUCUAAUUCGUUUAAGAAUCGGUAGGAUCCCUCGUUCAGCUUCUGUUUGUGCGAGAGGGCACAGAGGUAAGGCAGGGCAUGCCAUGGAGGUUAUGUUCAGGAGAUCAACAUCCUUUGGUUCCUACAUAUAUGAAUACCCAAUUUUUAGUGAGGAGAAAAAGAUCACCCUGUUGCGCUCCAGACAAUAUAUAUAGGAAAGCCUUGCAGUUUUUCAUUUCUAAAUUUAAUAACCAGCCUUGCGUUCAAUUUUUCAAUGUGAGAAGAACGAAUCAGUAUAUAGGGAAGAGUAACAAUAUGACCAACAUUAUCAAUUGGAACAGCAGAUGCAGCACGGAUAAUUUCAAGAUAGAAUAAUUUACAGUGCCCUAAUAAUAAUAUCAACUUAAUAAGUGUAUACUCCACAUCACAGGGUAGGGAUAUGAAAUGGACGAAAGAAAUCUUACCAACAGACCAGCUUGAGCAAGAGCUGCAGUUAUUGGUUCUCUCCAUGCCUGAUCAACCCCACAUAAGAUAAGGUUUUGGUUUGGAGUAAUGCUAACAUCCAAGUUAUACUUCUCAAUUAUCUCUCGCAGAGUUUUCUUUGCUUGCCCCCCAAGACGACCAUUAUCAACAUGCACUCCAUAGAAUAAUUUACCAUCACCCUGCAGUAAACAAUAUAGAGAAAAACAAAUGAAAACCUAAAUUUCAUAAAAUAACCAAUUGAUAUAUGAAUGUUGUGAACGAACAAACAUAUGAGAGAUAUGCCAGGAUUUAUCAAAUGCUCUUAUGCAGACUACAGCAAGAGAACAAAUAAAUAUGCAAGCCAAGUCAAAAUUUGAAGCAUCGAGGAAGUAAACUAAAUUAAAAAUGACAAACGGAAAUUUUGUAUGAAAAUAUCAGCAAUCCUCCCUAAACAAGGUAAAUAAUUUCUUCCAAAAUUUCUUUGCCACAUCUUGACCAAGAUAAUUAUGAUGGGGAAUUAUACCUGCUCCUGCCACCCAAGGUAGCUGUUGAACUGCCAUUCCGGUAAUGGACGAAAAUCUUCAAACUUCUUCCCAUAAUAUUUUUCAGCUUCAGCCCGGAACUUGUCGAUUCCCCAGCUGUCAAGCAGAUACUUCAGUCUGCUAUACCUGCGGUCAUCUCUUCUUCCAUUUUCCCUCUGUGUAACAACUAUUGCCUUUAUAGCAUAUAAUAUAUCCUCCUUAGGAACAUAACCAAGUGGAUCAGCCAGCCGAGGGAAUGUGGUUUCUAUUCUGUGUGUCCUUCCCAUGCCACCUCCAACCUGAAAAAUUGGGAUAGAUAAAAAAAAAGGUAAGCAUUGCUAAAUGCAGUACAAGAUGGAGCAGAAUUUUCUUUGGCACUUACAUAGAGGUUAAAGCCAACAGGCUCCCCUGCACUAUCUGAAACUACAACAACACCGAUGUCAUUCGUCAGAAUAUCAACAGAGUUAUCACCAGCAACUGUGACCGCAAUCUUGAACUUCCUGGGCAGAUACUGGGUCCCGUAGAUUGGCUCAGGAGAAUCAGGGAAGUUUGUUCCAUGUGAGUUAUCAUUCCGGGCUUUGGUGACCUCAGGUGGUUCUUCCGCUGACAUUAUCUUCUCUCCAUCCACCCACAGGUCAUAAUAAGCCCCUGACUGUGGAGCGAGAAGUGCUGCAAUAUUCUCUGCUGUUUCUUGAGCAAAAAGAAUAUCUUUUCUCACGUAUGGUGCGGCAGGUGCAAGCACAUUCCUAUUGAGAUCUCCACAAGCACCUAAGGUUGAUCCCAUAUUCUUAAUCACAGUGCUGAUGACAUGCUUCAAGUUCUUCUUAAGAACGCCGUGCAGCUGAAAUGUUUGCCUGGUUGUCAGACGGAGCGUUCCAAUCCCAAACUCAUCAGCCAGUGUAUCCAUAGCCAAGUAAAGCUGGUUCGGAACUUUUCCGGAAGGAUUCUUUGUCCGGAGCAUAAACGAGUAAUUCUUCUGGCCACGGACUUCCCGGUCGCUCUGCUGAUAGCUUCCAUGGAACUUAAUCAGCUGGACAGCAGUUUCGUUGACGUUGGGAGCCUCUGAGACCAGCUCCUCAUUCAAAGGGUAGCGAAGAAAAUUGCUCUUCUCCUUGAUUAUUUCGACCUUGCUUCGCUUAACUUGCGAUGCAUCCUUCUUCAGGGGCUGCAGGAACGGCAAAAGGUUUCAGAAUUCAGAGCAUCGGAUAGCAGCAGUCGUGCAUCAUUGCAUAGUGUUUUUUCCUAUUCAGCGACUACCAGUAUAAUACUCUAAAAGCGAUUUAUCAAUGAACAUUUCAGGAGUAAGCAGCUAAGUAAGAUAAGUGUGAUCGUGUACUACUGUAUUUAAAAUGGAUUCAGUUCCUAUCAAUGACAGAGGCAGUCAGUGAGUGUUGCCCUGGGCGAUGGGGAUUCCGAAAUCAACGCUUGACUGAUCUGGUUUCACACCAGUGGCUAGCCCUCACCGAAACAUAGUACAGUACAAAAAUCCACAUGAACAUGAAUUAGUAUAACGAAACCUAAUCCCAUCAAUUUCAUGAAACCAGGGUCGGUUAAACUGCCCUCAAAACCUGAUGAAUUCCAUUCCCGACGGGCGAGCCCCGAAAAAACCUCCCCCGCGAAAACGAAGAAAACCCUAAACUCGAACGCGCCCGCCGCCCCGCCACACCAGAAAACUCACCGUGGACACGGCGCGAAUGCUGGCCGCCGAGGGCCCGCCGCCGCCAGCCGGUGUGGCCCCGGGCGGCGCCACCCUGACGGGGCGCCCGAGCAUCCGGGACCUCGGGAGCUGCGCUGCGCCCCCGAAACCAUGGAACUCGGCGCCGCCCACCGCCGCCGACAUCGCCGCGGCAGGAACCGGCCGGAACGCAGGGAUGGAGGGGGGGAUGCGCGGCGAGAGGAGUGCGAGUGAUGGAUUUUUGCUGCUGCGGGCGCUUGGCUGGGUCGAGGGGCCGUGACGACGGGCCGCGGGGGCUUUAGUGGGGGGCGGGCACGGCCGCCCUGGCCCACCCGGGAUGAGCGCUCCCGUGCGCUCGGCGUACCGUAGACCACUAGACCAGACGGGCCAGGACAAAGUGCGCGCGCCUUGGCAGGUGGGUGCGGGUGCAUGCGCGGGGCUCAGGCGGAACGAGGAGGUGGGCAGAGGGGAUCGGCUGCGGCGAGCAUCAGGCCUGACGACCGUGGCGGCCACGCGUCGAGCGGCAAGGGAUGACAAGUGGGCUCCGUGGGUGCGGGGCCCGCCUGUCGGUGACAGGUGGGACGCCGAGCCGACGGGCUUGUUUGUUUAUUGGGAGGGAGGCGAGCGCAUGGGAGGCGGCCGAGAUGCGUAGGUGCGACGGGUGGGGCGCUGGAUUGACCCCGGUUCGUGUGGGUACGUUGAACCUGGACGUCUUUUUCGGUGGGAGAAAGCACGAUUCCCCGCCCACCACUGCGGUGGAGGGCUCGUAGCAGCCGCACCGCACGAUGUGAGGUCAGAGAUGAGAUCAGGGACCAUCUUGUCUCUGCGGGGCAGAAUCUUGCGGCCUGUGGCCCCGUGUGGCUGCCUGCCUCUGUUUCUAGCGCCGGCGACAGUGAGCGGCUCCUGGUCUCGGAAAAGGCCGCUCAUGUUCAUGUAGCCCUGCCCGUUUCUUGCCGCCAGCCGGUUCGCGAAAUACUCCGCAUCAACGCUUAAGUUUUCGAACAGGAAAUUAACAGUUACUCCCUCCAUUCCAUAAUACAGUAUAAAAACAUUUCUAACAGUAGUGCAUAGGAUGUUCAUUUAGUGCUAAAAGUGCAAAAUACCCCCUCCGUUUUAAAAAGUUUGCCUUAAAUUUGUUUAGAUAUGAAUGUAUAUCUAGUCAAGUUUUAGUAUUUAGAUACAUCCAUUUCUAAACAAAGUUAAGAUAAGAAUUUUGAAACGGAGGGACUACGUCAUUACAGUCUCACAGCUUGUCUAUAUGUGCAGAUACGAUCACUUUUUCGUAUCCAGCCAUAUUUCAAACUCACGUGGCUUGUUAGUAUGAAUGUGGCCCAUAUAUCAGUGGUCGUAAAUGGUGAGCGACGGGUAAGCAAAACAUUAUCUUUUUUCUUUUGGAAAACACUCUUGACUUUUAUUUACUUACGCACCUGUCAGCAUAUGGUGCUCGCAAAAAACUAGAAUAGAAAAUAGCGUCAAGGGGAUUCGAUCGACGUCCUCCAUUCCAUGAACUAACUAAACUAUCCACUCCACCAGAAAUAAUUAGAUACUCCCUCCGUCCGCAAUUACUUGUCGCGGAAAUGGAUAAAAAUGGAUGUACUUAAAACUAAAAUACAUCUAGAUGCAUCCAUUUCUCCGACAAGAAAUUCGGGACGGGGGGAGUACAAGACAAAAAACACCAUUUUUCUUUAAUACAAUGUACAAUCAGCCCAACAAACUAAUAAACAAGAACUAAAAACUUGUCAUGUUAUUCCUUGCAGGAAUAAACUGAUGUAAGGAAACAACUUAUAUUGUGUUGUUUGUGACACUAAAAAAUUCAUGUCUUACAAAAAAAUACACGAAGUUUUUAAAAAUGCUUAAAAAUUGUAAAAAAUAUUUUUGUAAUUGGAAUAACAUAGGUUGCAUUUUAUAGAUGUCCAUGUAUACAAAACAAUAUUCAUGAUCGGAGUAAAAAUGGUCGUUUGUAUGUUGUUAUUUUUUCGGGCGGUUUGUAUGCUUUCAUUUAUCUUGUUCUAUUUAAGAAAACUACACGGGGAAUAGAUAUUCUCCAUGACAUGUGCAUAUUAUCAUGGAGAAAGUGGGAUCAUCCUGAUUGAGCGGUCUAUUAUUUAAAAAAUAUUUAAAUUUUAAAUUUCUUUCGGACAAAUCACUUAAACUAUAUUUUCUUUUACCGAUUUUUCAAUUUAAAAUUAUUUGUAUUGAAACAGUUUUUUUGUUGAUUUGUCUAAAAGAAAUUUACGUACAUCCAGUCUACACUGUAUCAUCUUUUAUCUAGAUUUUUAAAAUUAAAACUAUUCAAGUUUAAAGCAGACAUUUGAUUUGUCCGAAAAGUUUACAUGCAUGCACUCAAAAAAAUGUUAUUUUAUCAAAAAAGUUAUGUACAUUCAUUCUGAUAUUUAUUUUUUUAUCUAGAUUUUCAAAUUUAAAAUUAUUGGAAUUCAAACAAAACAUUCGGUGAUUUGUUUCAAGGAAUUGGUGUUCAUUCAUUCUGCAUUAAAUAUUUUUAACUAAAAUCUUUAUAAUUUUAGAAAAACAUUAAUCCGAAAAAAAUGAACAUUCAUUCUGCACUAUAUUUCCUUUUAUCUAUAUUUUAAAAUUUUAAAUUGUACAAAUUCAAACGUUAUUUUGUUAUGUUGUCGAAAAUAAUUUACACGUAUUCAUUGUGCACUAGAUUUUUUAAAUUGAAAUUGUUCAAACUAAAAAAUGAUUUGUCAGAAAAAAAAUGUGUACAUUCAUUCUGCACUAUAUUUCCUUUUAUCUAGAUUUCAAAUUUCAAAUUAUUUGAAAUCAAAUAAAAUUUUAGUUGCUUUGUCCGAAAAAUUUACCUGGAAUAUAUGUUGUUUGCAUACAUAGUAAAAAAGAAAGAAAAAUAGAGAAGAUAAAUUAUGUAUAUCUCUUCAAUUCAUGUCAGGAGGUCAUAGGUUCAAACUGGUGUUUCCCUCUUUUGCACACUCUUCUUCCCUUAUGAUUUUUUUCUUUAAUUCGUAUUAACAUAUAUUAUAUAAAUCUAAUUGCCAUAUGUCCAUUGGUAAGAUUGGUUAUCUAUGCCCUCUUAAUCAUAUGAGGUCGUGGGUUCGAAUCUAGUUCUAGAGUUUUCUUAAUUUUAUGACAUGUACACAACUAAAUAAAAGCCAUGGGUCUUUUCUGCAAAAAAACAAAGAUAAUGUGAGGCACACCUAACAUGCGGGACGCGUUCAUGCUGACGUGUCAUGUGAGCACUAGAUACGGCUCGAUACAAAAGAAGUGAUUGUAUAUGCACGCAUGGACUAGUUAUGUGACUGUAAUGAUGUAUUUUAUAAUUUUUAGCACUAAACUAAACAUGAGACGCAAGUUCUAUGAUUGCCACUCAUACUACCUCGUUACGUUUCUUGUCGCUAGAUCGGAUGAACAGUUUGAUUUCUUUCUUCAAGGUAGGUCACAAAACUUGCAUCAGAUAAUCAGUUUGGUUCAUACACUUCUAUUUUAUUUUCCAAGGUAACCACGUGUAUCAUUGAUCAUAAAUAAGAAUCAUACAAAGCAUGCAUGCGGAACCAACCGGAAGGGUCCGCAGAAGAUCGUAAAGAACACUCAAAGAAAGAAAAUUACAAAGAAAUAUUUACGUAAUCCUGUGAGGAGAGCCACAACCCAAAAUGGCAUUGUGAAUCGAUGAAGGAGCCCGCCAACGGCAAGGUCUUUAUCGAUGUGGCGAGUCGACCGGGGAUCAUCCCCACUCCCUCUCGAGUCCCAAAGCCAUCACCAACCGUCGAUAUCGUCGAGGCCAAGCGCUAGAUCCACACCAUCAAUCCUCAAACACAGAUUGCCAUUCGCUCUCGCCCACCGAUGGCGUCGUUAAGGACGACAACCACCGGUCGAAGACCUAAACACGUUAACCUGAAGGGGCGACGAAAGACAGAACCCAGUGGCUCCUCGACGGCACCAUGGACGCCAUCAAGACGAGACUGUAGCAUGGGCGUUAUUUUUGAAUGCAUUACCGUCGUCAUCGUCAGAAGCGACACCGCCUCACAUACAAAGCCUACCCUACAAUCUCACAAAGUGUCUUGGAUCUCGUGCUGCAGCUCGUUACUCACCAAAAGUCCGCUUCUCUUCUUCCUCCUCCUCUCUCUCCUCCAACUAAGCAAGGAUAUAAUAUUUUAAUCCUUAUAGCCUGCUUAUGUCACCUUAUUGUACUUGCUUUUAUGUGUGAGAGAAAAAUCACUAGGGUCCCCACCCCCUCUAGUCUUAGUCUUGAAGAAGACGACAUAGGAGGCAGGAUUGGCGGCGUCGUGGACGAAGGUGUUGGGGAACGUCGCAUGGGAAACAAAAAUUUUCCUACGCGCACGAAGACCUAUCAUGGUGAUGUCCAUCUACGAGAGGGGAUGAGUGAUCUACAUACCCUUGUAGACCGUACAGCAGAAGCGUUAGAGAACGCGGUUGAUGUAGUGGAACGUCCUCACGUCCCUCGAUCCGCCCCGCGAACAAUCCCGCGAUCAGUCCCAUGAUCUAGUACCGAACGGACGGCACCUCCGCGUUCAGCACACGUACAGCUCGACGAUGAUCUCGGCCUUCUUGAUCCAGCAAGAGAGACGGAGAGGUAGAAGAGUUCUCCGGCAGCGUGACGGCGCUCCGGAGGUUGGUGAUGACCUUGUCUCAGCAGGGCUCCGCCCGAGCUCCGCAUAAACGCGAUCUAGAGGAAAAACCGUGGAGGUAUGUGGUCGGGCUGCCGUGGAAAAGUCGUCCCAAAUCAGCCCUAAAACCUCCGUAUAUAUAGGUGGGAGGGAGGGGGCCUUGCCUUGGGGUCCAAGGACCCUCAAGGGGGUCGGCCGAGCCAAGGGGGAGGACUCUCCCCCCCCAAACCGAGUUGGACUAGGUUUGGUGGGAGGGAGUCCUCCUCCCUUCCCACCUCCUCCUUUUUUUUCCUCUUGAUUUUUCUUCUCUUGGCGCAUAGACCACUUGUGGGCUGUCCCACCAGCCCACUAAGGGCUGGUGUGUCUCUCCCAAGGCCUAUGGGCUUCCCCGGGGUGGGUUGCCCCCCCCGGUGAACUCCCGGAACCCAUUCGUCAUUCCCGGUACAUUCCCGGUAAUUCCGAAAACCUUCCGGUAAUCAAAUGAGGUCAUCCUAUAUAUCAAUCUUCGUUUCCGGACUAUUCCGAAAACCCUCGUGACGUCUGUGAUCUCAUCCGGGACUCCGAACAACAUUUGGUAACCAACCAUAUAACUCAAAUACGCAUAAAACAACGUCGAACCUUAAGUGUGCAGACCCUGCGGGUUCGAGAACUAUGUAGACAUGACCCGAGAGACUCCUCGGUCAAUAUCCAAUAGCGGGACCUGGAUGCCCAUAUUGGAUCCUACAUAUUCUACGAAGAUCUUAUCGUUUGAACCUCAGUGCCAAGGAUUCGUAUAAUCCUGUAUGUCAUUCCCUUUGUCCUUCGGUAUGUUACUUGCCCGAGAUUCGAUCGUCAGUAUCCGCAUACCUAUUUCAAUCUCGUUUACCGGCAAGUCUCUUUACUCGUUCCGUAAUACAAGAUCCCGCAACUUACACUAAGUUACAUUGCUUGCAAGGCUUGUGUGUGAUGUUGUAUUACCGAGUGGGCCCCGAGAUACCUCUCCGUCACACGGAGUGACAAAUUCCAGUCUUGAUCCAUACUAACUCAACUAACACCUUCGGAGAUACCUGUAGAGCAUCUUUAUAGUCACCCAGUUACGUUGCGACGUUUGAUACACACAAAGCAUUCCUCCGGUGUCAGUGAGUUAUAUGAUCUCAUGGUCAUAGGAAUAAAUACUUGACACGCAGAAAACAGUAGCAACAAAAUGACACGAUCAACAUGCUACGUCUAUUAGUUUGGGUCUAGUCCAUCACGUGAUUCUCCUAAUGACGUGAUCCAGUUAUCAAGCAACAACACCUUGUUUGUAAUCAGAAGACACUGACUAUCAUUGAUCAACUGGCUAGCCAACUAGAGGCAUGCUAGGGACGGUGUUUUGUCUAUGUAUCCACACAUGUAAAUGAGUCUUCAUUCAAUACAAUUAUAGCAUGGAUAAUAAACUAUUAUCUUGAUACAGGAAUUAUAAUAAUAACUAUAUAUUUAUUAUUGCCUCUAGGGCAUAAUUCCAACAGAAGGCUGGGAGCAGCAGUUCGCCAACCCAAUCGCCUCUCUCGGGCGGUUGUUGGAGCGAAGAAGUGUGGUAUGUCUUCUUUUUGGUUCAUAAACUUGUGAAACUAUAAAAUAACUCAGGCGUUGCUAUAAAAAAAUCAAUAUAUCAAGGUGUAAAAGCUCACGUGUGUAUACUUAGAGGACAAAUAAGAGAUAGUCACUCCGUAAAAGAUGUAAGAGCGUUUAAACCACUACAUUAGUGAUCUAAACGCUUAAUAAGGAAAAAAAACACCACUAAGUGGGAUGCUUCUGAGUUCCGACUUCACACAGGUCACAUUUGCAAAAUACAGUAAUAAUCUAUGUUGUUUCAACCUGGCAAAUUACAUAAGCAGAAACACUGGCCACAGACCAAGAUUCUGCCCCGUGGAGACAAUAUGAGAUUCUGCCGCAAAAAAAAGGGAGACAGUAUGAGAUGUAUGAUUUCUGGACAGUAGUAAUUCACUUCAUUUAUUUAUUUACGACAGUAAAACCGAGCCUAAUCCAAGCUCUCUCACACCAUUUGCUUUCCUGGCCGUUCGUUUUGGCUAUCUGGUUGUUGGUGGCCGUCGGAUCUGCUCCACUUAAUGUUGUGCGGCGUCCCGGCCCAACUCGUGUAGCUUCCUGGGCCAACUGGCCUAAGGGCUACUACUCCGGAAGAAAAAACCGAGGCCUCUGAUUAAUUGGGCUGAUCGAGGAAGCCCACUUAAACAACGAGGUCCGACUCCGAUCUGUCGCUGGAUCGCGUACGUAAAGAAAAAAACAAUUGUGUGGUCGAGGGGAUGCUUGACGGGAAGAGAGAGGAGGCGCUCGUGGCAGCCGAGGCGCGAGAGGGGCGAGCGAGGUGAUCCAGAUUGAUGCAUGCGAGGGUAGCGAUCUAGCCGACGAGGUGAUCCAGCAGACGCGCAUGAUGCGGAUGAAUCAGUGGCCGUCCGAUCCAGCCGAUGCGGUCGAUCCGUUUGUGAAGUUGAAAAGGCGAACGCAGUUGAUGAUUGUGGGCGCCUCAUCUGUUGGAAACUGCUCGCAAUCAUACUUGGGUUUCUAAGGGUUCAUUCAUGGUGAUUGAUAUGCUAAUCCUUUCCACUGCAGGGUGCUAUGUCUAUAUAUUCUUCCUCCCUAACACUCUUGGCUCAUUCUUUCUACCCGGCAGCACAAGAUCUUUCAUCAUGGUCAACACCAUCCUAUUUCAAUUUGCCUGAUGGGUGGUAUGGGCGUUACCGCAGAUCCUGUGAGUUCAAAUAAAUCUUUCGGGUUGCCCAGACCCUCCUUAAUUCAUGGUAUAGAAAGCACAUUUGCUUCCAUUGUGAUACGUUCAUAGUUUGUUUGUUGGUGAAUAGGAUUUAACUUGAAUUGGCCCACUUUCCAUGCAGGAAUUUUGGAGGCCAUAGCGAUGUUUUUAUGUAUGUACAAUGUAUAAAUCUCCUGGAAUUUGAUGUUAGUUGAUUGCUUUUGGUGCUUCACAUGUUGAAUGUUUAACAACUAAAUAGAGAGGAUUAGUCCAAUCAGUAUGUUAUUGGAUUUAUGAACUGAAAUUCUAUUCUCCGAUUCUGCAUCAGACCGACGCUCCAGAAGAUUCCCCUUUUUUUCCCUUGUCACCAUGUGUUUUAUUUUGUUUGUUGCAUUCAUCAUGUCAUCAUGCCAAAUUAAGGAUAGGGUCGCAUCUCGGAUGCGACAUAUAGGUACAACAUGUGGUCUCUGGAGUUAAAAGGAAGCUGAAAGCCCUCCUGUAGCACACUAAUUAGUGAAGGUUGAGUUUGAUGGACUGGUGGCUAAUUCGAUAUAUAUUGAUGAAUCACUUUGCUAUAUCACCAUUUUUUCGUGAAAACUUAUAGAUGCCUAACAUCAUUCAUCUGCAUAAUUCUUGAAAAGGGGAUGACCCCUCUGCAUAUGAGAUAAAAGAACUUCAAAUCAGAUGUACGUGCGCUUACAUUCUUUGGGAUAUCUCUACGCUUUCGCUUGCAUUUAUGUUGGCAAGGUGGAAGUUUUUAUUUUAUAUUAGUACUUAAACGAACUGGUAAUUAGCUUUUAUCUGGUGCACAUGCUGACAUUUCAUUAAUGAUGAGGUCAAGGUGUUCUUUCAGUCUGCAAAUUACUACUCCCUCUCACCUAAAAAGUGUCUCAGCUUUGAACUAAGGACACUUUUUUGCGACCGGAGGGAUUACACAUUUGCACCUUUCUUCUUGCCUGCAGCUUUAUACCAUCAGAUCCUGCAUAUCGUUGGUCAGUCAAAGUUUCACACCUCUUCUAAGACAGAUGGUGAGUAUUAUGUUAGCUAAGCUAGCUAGAUGUAGGUGAACUUCUUUUUGGCCAUCUCCACAUAUUUUUGCUACUGUCUUAAUUGGUUCCUGGUCCUUCACCCUAAUGCUGGCAUGAGAUAUUAUUCGGUACUUGCCAGGCAUGAGAUAUUAUUCGGUACUUGGCAUUGUAUCUACAUUUUGUUAUCCUAAAUUAGAUGCAUGGUCUUUCCAGAACUUGCUUCUUCGGUUUUGGUGCGAUUUAUUUCUGGCUGGUGUCGGUACUUUCUGAUCAUGUCCUAUUUGCUGAAUAAGGUUGUAGAUACAUGCCAUCUUAUCGAUGAUAGUACAUGCGUUCUACAGUUUCAGUCUUCAUGGUCAUCUAAACAUGCAUGUACAUAAUAAUUUUCUGCCAAUUUUUUUAUAAGUGUUUGGGUAGCCAAAACUUUGGAAAUCAACCAAGCAGCAGCCAAAGUCAUGGCCAUGUCAAAUUUUUGGUUGCAUGAAAUACCAUAAAUAAUUUUACCAUUAAGAAGCAACCCUUUAGUCUCGCAAAUCUGUAGUGAAAAUUUCACGAGGUCCGUGUUACUAACUUCUCCCUCCGUAAAGUAAUGACUAUUAUUACUCAGUAUAUUAUUCAAAGCUAGCUCCAACACGUAAACCUCCUCUCGUCUUGCGAUUUUUUGUCUGUAAUCUUUCAUAACUUCACAUUUGUGGAGACAACAACAAUUGGUUCACUCAUUGUUUUGUAAUUCUGUUGGCCACUUCUGGUUUCUUUUGCACUUGGGGCCUCUUAGUAUUAACUAAAUAGUGUUUGUUCCAUAUAAUAUUUAUACCGACCAAUCCAGCAUUUGAUAUAUUCUCCGCAUAUUGUAGAAAUAGAUGGGGUGUAACAAUGGGCGCCACUGAACCUUUUGUAGUCCUUUGAUCGCACUAAGCGACUUCGACCAUCGCGUCUAUUGUUGGUCGUUUUUUCGUCAGACCACCAUCAUUAUAGUGUCAAAAUGGACGGACGCGGCAAGGCGCGUCAUCAAUGAUCUAGUGAACCAUAACUACUAGGCUAUCCAAGCACAUUUACAUCACAUAUAGGUGAAAGUUCUGGCUAGCUUUAAACAUACAUAUAUAACCAACGAAAUCAACUAAAGUGAACCUGAAAUAUUGUACGAAGAUAGAUGGAGCUCCAAAACAAAACAUGAUGCAAGAUUUAAAUAAACUGAUUGGGAUUACCGAUGUCCAUACAUACAAAUCAAUUUAAAUACACAUAAUCUGUUCCAUGGGGGGAUGCUGCCCUGCUCCAGAUCUUAUGUUAUACUUCCUCUGUCAGGAAUUAGAUGCUGAAAUAGAUGUAUCCAAAACAAAACCAGCUGGCCCGAACCUGGAAAGGGUGUGUGUGGGGUGGGGGGGUGGGGGGGCAUACCUGGCCAAACGGGGUGUGUUGAUGUAGUUAAACGUCUUCACGAUCCAAUCACGAUCCGUCAUGCGAUCCAUCAGGAGCCUUCCCGAUCUAGCGCCGAACGGACACCUCCGCGUUUAGCACACGUACAACUCGAUGACGUCUCCGCCUUCUUGAUCCAGCAAGCGAGGGCGGUGAGGUAGAUGUGUUCUUCGGCAGCACGACUGCGCGGCGACGAUGAUGGUGGAGUUGUCCCGGCAGGGCUUCGCCAAGCACUACUGCGACGAACUAGAGGAAAGGCUGAUCCAGAGGGAGAGGGAGAGGAUGCGUCGUGGCUUGUGUGUUGAAGCCCUCCCUCUCCUCUCUUAUAUAUAGGGGGAGGGUGGAGAGGUGGUCGGCCUAGGGUUUCCCCUAGGAGGGGCGACGACCAAGGGGCACCUCCGCGUUCAGCACACGUAUAGCUCGAGGACGACCCUCGCCUUCUCGAUCCAGCAAGAGAGACGGGGAAGUAGAUGAGUUCUCCGACAGCGUGACAGCGCACUGGUGAUGGUGGUGAUCUAUUUGUGCAGGGCUUCGCCUAAGCACCGCAGAAAUCCGAUCUAGAGGAAGAACUACAAACUAGAGGAGAGGGUAUCACGUGGCUGAAAUUGUGUGUCUUAAAAAACCCUCAAUACCUCUAGUAUAUAUAGGAGGGAUGGAGGGGAGGAGGCAGCCUCAAACCCUCAAGGUUUGGCCGAAAUUGGAGGUGGAGGAGUCCUACUCCAAUCCUACUAGGAGUAGGAUUCCUCCUUUCCACUUGGAAACCCUUUCCACCUUUGGGUUUUUGCCUCUCAAACCUCAUGGGACUUAGUGGGUGCUUAUGUCAUCCCACUAGGGGUUGGAUUGUAUCCUCCCACAUCCCAUAAGCCCCCUCGGGGCGUGACACCCCUCCCGAUGGUCCCCGGUACCCUCCCGGUACUCCCGGUACACUACCGAUGAGCCCGAAACUUUUCCGGUGACCAAAACAGGACUUCCUAUAUAUCAGUCUUUAGCUCCGGACCAUUCGGGAGCUCCUUGUGACGUUCGUAUUCUCAUCCCGGACUCCGAACAACUUUCGGUUACCAACACCUAUAACUUCACUAUACCGAAACGUCACCAAACCUUAAGUGUGCAGACCCUGCGGGUUCGAGACCUAUGCAGACAUGACCUGAGACAUUCUCCGGUUAAUAACCAAUAGCGGGACCUGGAUGUCCAUACUGGCUCCUACAUAUUCUACUAAGAUCUCUAUCGGUUAAACCUCUAUGUCAAGGAUUCAGUUAAUCCCGUAUGUUGUUCCCUUUGUCCUUCGGUAUGUUACUUGCCCGAGAUUCGAUCGUCGGUAUCUUCAUACCUAGUUCAAUCUCGUUACACGCAAGUCUCUUUACUCGUUUCGUAAUACAAAAUCCCGUAACUAACUCCUUAGUCACAUUGCUUGCAAGGCUUGUUGUGAUGUUGUAUUACCGAAUGGGCCCUGAGAUACCUCUCCGUCACACGGAGUGACAUAUCUCAGUUUUGAUCCAUCCCAACCCAACAGACACCUUUGGAGAUACCUGUACAACACCUUUAUAGUCACCCAGUAACGUUGCGACGUUUGAUACUCACAAGGUAUUCCUCUGGUGUCCGGAAGUUGCAUGAUCUCAUGGUCAUAGGAACAGAUACAUUGACAUGCAGAAAAACAGUAGCAAUAAACUGACACGAUCAUAUGCUACGUUUAUAGUUUGGGUCUUGCCCAUCACAUCAUUCUUCUAAUUAUGUGAUCCUGUUAUCAAGUGACAACAUUUGUCUAUGACCAGGAAACCUUUACCAUCUUUGAUCAACGAGCUAGUCAACUAGAGACUCACUAGGGACAAUGUGUUGUUUAUGUAUCCACACAUGCAUUUGAGUUUUCAAUCAAUACAAUUCUAGCAUGGAUAAUAAACGAUUAUCAUGAACAAGGAAAUAUAAUAAUAACCAAUUUAUUAUUGCCUCUAGGACAUAUUUCAACAAUUAAAUCUAAUAAAAAGAAAGUAUAAACUUAAAAUCAAUAAAAAUGUCUAAACAUAGAAUAAAUGCAUUGCUGAGUGGAAUGUUGAGGUGUACACUGUGUAUGUUGAGAGUGCUUAUGCGGCAGAUUUUGCAUGGCUUAGUGUGAGAGAAGAUUUAAAUGCAUUGCGUGCUGCCAAGUUCUUUCCUUUUCAAGUUCACUAAUUUAAAAGAAUGAUAUAUAUUAUUAUUAUCUGAUGCCCUUUUUAUCUGAAUCUUAGUCUUAACCCAUCGAACGAUUAUUUAAUAUACUCUGAACUUCCAAGUACUCCGUGUUCGUCCAUAGUCCAGUCCACCGUCAUCUCAUGCACAUAGUGCCCACCUAGAUUGCAUGUAGUCGCCAUGUCCAAGCACAUACUCCGCCAACCCAAUGCACUAAGUCGCCCAUGACAAAUCACCAAACGGAGUGGCUAGAACCUUUCACCAUCCAUUGCCUAAAUCAGAUGGCUUUUCUUUGUCUGAAUCUUAGUCUGAGCCCAUUCAAGGACAGUUCAACAUACUCUGUACUAGGCAGGUACUCCAUGUCCAUCCACUGCCAUCUCAUUUUGGAUCUACAUUUUUUCUUUCAUUGGAGGCAUUUUCUUGGAUAAUGCGCAUGCAUCUUCAACGUUGGUUCAGACAUUACUGUACGCAUCUCUGGAUAUAUGCGGACAUUUUUCAACUGUAAAUCCAUACCAUUAUUUCUUGGCAUUUUUGGAUACAUGUAAGCAUCUUUGUUGUAGAAUAAACAGGGCGACAAAAGAAAAGAGCAAGGCAAAACUAUAUAAUUUUAUUGUCAUAAAGAAAUAGUAGUGUGUAGUUGCGAUGCAGAAAAUUCAGUUGCUGGUCAUAUUUUUAUACACACAUAGCAUACUACUAAUUAACUAAUAAUCACAUAGUUCCCUCGUGUAUGCAGGAAAAACACCUUCUGGUUCCGGGACUAUUAUAGACGUCGAGGCUCAAGUCACAAACAUCGAGUGAUACUAGACAAAUUCCUAUGCGUUGCUACAGAAAUUGUUGGCAAUAUGUUUAGAUGAUAUUUGAUUACGUGAAACAUGAAUAUUAUAAUUAAAAAUAUGAGUAUGAAAUAAAAAAUAUAUGAUAUCUAUUAUACUUGAUUCAUUUAUUAUUGCAAAAUAGUUUUAGAAUAUAAGUAUCAUAUUGUGAGUUUAAAAUUCCUUAGAGUUGUCCACGCGGGUGCCUUCUUCACUAAGGAAAAGUUGGACAUGAGUAAUGAGGAUGACUCUCAAUCUCCCCAUGCGUUGAUACGGUAACUUUGUUAAAAUAUGCGUAAGUAGUUGCUAAGUCUAAUGAAAAGAAAGUAUAAAAUUAAAAAUAAUAAGAAUGUCUGAACAUAGAAUAACUACUUUUGAAUUACAGUUAAUAAUGUCAUUUCAAACAGAAUGUGAAUGAUGACUAACCUUAAUCUUCAUGAUGUGGCAGUGUUACAUGCAUAGACUAAUGCAAAAGUAAUUAUGAUUUAUAAGUUAAAUGCAUGACUCGUUUAUGUGAUAGAUUUUGCAUGGCUUAAUGGGAGAGAAGACUUAAAUGCAUUGUUUAGUGGGACGCUGAGGUGAACACUUUGUAUGUUGAGAGUGUUUAUGUGGCAAAUUUUGCGGGGCUUAUUGUGAGAGAAGUAUUAAAUGCAUUGCCUAGUGGAAUAUUGUGGUGGACACUUUGCAUGUUGAGAGAAUUGAGACCAACUUCUUAAAAAAUGUAAAAUUUCGUGAGGGGUGUGUGAAUAACUCAGCCUUGUCGGUAUCAAUUUUGCAACUCCAAUGCUUCCGUGUUCAAAUGUUGUAUUAUCAGAGCAUCUUCAACACACACGCGGUAGCGCGGCGCGCUAAAUUCUUUUUUGCAACGUGGAAAUAGACUUUUAAAGCGCUAGGCUGGUGUUUUGCUUUACCAUAAGCGCUAUAAUAUUGUGCUCCGCAGGUAGCGCUCCAGCAGUGACGCUAAAUUCUAGCUCGUGCGCCUAGCACAAUCAACAUUUCCUACUCAAACAUAGAAUCAAGAAGAUCAAACACACACAAAGUAAAUUAAUAAUAAAUUGUUCAAUUAUUAUUACAACUUAAACAAAUUUUUUAUCUUCAAUACAAAAAAUAGUUCAUGAAUAAUACAACAAAUAGUUCAUGAAUAAUACAACAAAUAGUUCAUACAAUGUUAAAUUAAUUUUGUUGUCCAUUCCAUGACCAUCACUCCUUGACAAAAUCCUUUUGAAGCUCAUCAUGCGCUUUGCCACGUCGAAUGACAUGAUAGGAGGCAACAAAGCGGGCCGCCCUUGCGGUCCUUAUCCACACUCGUGUGGGUUGUCGCAUCAACUGAUACUGAGAAUAGUCUGAAUCUUGCCCACGCUCACUGUUGAUGAUCAUGUUAUGCAUGAUCACGCAAGCUUUCUUUAUGUAUCGAAGGAUCUUUUGAUCCCAAAAUCUGGCCAAUCCCCUCACAACAGAAAAUUGAGCUUGCAAAAUCUCAAAAGCUCUCUUCACAUCUUUCCUAGACGCCGCUUGAGCAUCGUGAAAAUCAAGUUUUUUCUUAACUUGCAGUGCCUUCAACGGCUUCACAAAUGCUUGCCACCGUGGAUAGAUGUCAUCCGUAAGAUAUUAUCCAUAGUUGUGUGUAUGGCCAUUUGCUACAAACUCCACCGGUUGAGUUUCACCAGUUGCAAUCCUAUUCAUGAGUGGUGACCUUUGAAUAACAUUGAUGUCAUUGCAAGAUCCGGGCAUUCCCAAAAAAGCAUGCCAAAAUCAAGUCUCAUGAUCGGUCACCGCUUCAAGGAUUAUAGUGAAACCCUUUUUCUGACCGUGGAAUUUUUCAUGCCAUGCCGUAGGAUAGUUCUUCCAACUCCAACGCAUGCAAUGUAUUAUGGCAAGCAUACUUGGGACCCGCGAGCUUUGCUGAACUCCAAAAGCCUUGCGGUGUCUACAACAUUGGGAGCUUUCAAAUAUUCUGGACCAAACCCUUGUACAAUUCCAACUGCGAAGUGCUUGACACACAUGAUGGCUUCACUCUCACCCAAGGUCAAGUGGUCAUCAACUAGAUUCAUCGGAAUACCGUAUGACAACAUACGCAAAGUGGCGAUCACCUUUGGAAAGGUUCUAUGCCCGAAUUUGCCGGCGGCAUUCCUCCUUUGCUAAAAAAACGAUCAUGCCUCGCCAGUUUCUGUGCAGUGUAUUUGAACAACUCGAUGCUCAUCCUAAAACGACGUCAAAAGUAGAAUGUGGGGUUUGUUGGAUUCUCCACAAAAUAGUUUAUCACCAAUCUAUUGUGGGCAUCGACCCUUUCCCUCCAUAUUUCUGACGAGCGAAAACCGAACCACGGUGCUUCAGCUCUAACUUAAAACUAGAAAUAACCGCUAGUGGAAAACGGGCCUUUAGCCCCGGUUCCAAAGGGCCUUUAGUCACGGUUUUCCAACCGGGACCAAACAAUCGACACAAAAGGUCAAAACUUUUAGUCCCGUUUUUUGAGUUUUUUCUGAUAACUUAAUCCCUAAUCUCCCCUACUCAGUAGUCGAACAUGAAACACUCAUUUCAAAUCAUCUAACUUCCCUGUAAGUCACUCACUCCACUCAUUUCAAACCGUUUAACUUCCCGGCCGGUCACCCAUCCUCUCAUUGCUCCAACCCAAGUACGCUUAACUUUUCGGUUCUAUCUUCACUAGUUUCCAAGUGUGUACUUGUUGUUUUAUUGACAAUAGUAAGCUAUCAAUCUUAUUAACCCUUAGGUCUUGAUGUCACAUGAUUUAAUUUUUUGAGUCCAAACAAUUAUUAAAACAAACAACAAUGAUUAACAAACAAUAAUAAUUAAUUUAAAAACUAAAAAAACUUCAAAAAGGUAAAAAUUUCAAAAGAAAAACUCAAAUAAUUCUCAAAAAGCACAAAAAACAAAAUAUCAAAAUAAUAAAAAAAUCAAAAAAAUAAGCAAUAGUAAUAUUGAAUUUCAAUGAAAAUAAAAUCAUUUAUUCAUUUUUUGCCAUUUAUUCAUUUAAUAUGGCAUAAUUGAUAUCUUUAAAUCUAUAAAUCGAAAUUCAACAAAUAAUAUAUCCAUUAUCAUCAGAAAAAUGUGAGGAAUACAAAUAUGACAUUAUUUAUUUAAAAGGGUAAAAUUGACAUCAUUUAUUUUUUUAAAGUAAAAUAUGACAUCAUUUAUUUAAAAAGGUAAAUGACCAUGAAAUUGAAAAAACUACAAAUGAACUCUGAAAAGGCUGAAACUUGGCAAGAUAUCAUCAUUUCAUCCACAUAGCAUGUGCUAAAAACUUGACAUGGUAUCAGCAUUUCAUCCACAUAACAUGUGCUAACUUCGUGUACAAAGUGGACAAUCUCUUUCGAAGUAUGACAGUUUCACACGAAAAACUUAGGUUUUACAAAGAUAUUUCUUUUUUUAACUUAUUUUAACACCAUACUUUUUGUGAUUUCAAUAUGCACAAUUGAAAGUCACGUCAUCAAUUUUCAACCCUUUAUGACUUUAUUUGAAUAUUUCAUGCAUUUAAUUAAUUUUUUCAGCUAAAUGACCGUGACAUUGAAAAACACUACAAAUGAACUCUGUAAAGGCUGAAACUUGACAUGGUAUCAUUAUUUCACCCACAUAACAUGUGCUAAAAAGUUGAGAGGGUUACGACAAAAAAAUGGAUGCACUUCGUGUACAAACUGGACAAUCUAUUCAGAAAUAUCACGGUUUCGGAUGAAUACACAUCUCUUACAAAGGCAUUUCAUUUUUCAAACUUAUUUGAAUUCCAGACUUUUUGUGAGUUCAAUAUUCACAAUUCAAAGACACGUCAUCAAUUUUCAACACUUUCUCACUUCAUUUGUUAUUUUUCAUGCAUUUAAUGAUUUUUUUGAGCUAUAAAACUAAAAGAGUAAACAAAAUCUUAUUUUGAUUAAAACACACAUUUGAAAUAUCCUAAAAAUUACCAAAUUUUAUAUAAUGACAAAACACACUAGUAUUAAAUAGCAAGAAAAAGAAUCACUCAAAAAUCCAUUUUAAAGUAGAGUUAUUCACAAAGUAGUGAUUCACACAAAUUUCAAAGAAUUCAAAUUUAAACUAUUCAAAUUUGAAAACUACUAACAUUAGCAGAAAGUUUAUAACUUUUGUGACCUAAAGCAGAAAAGAUACAUUCAAAAACUAUAAAUAUUCUAAUAGUUAUUUCAAAUCUAAAAACAGAAACUAUCGUGUUUAGAAAAACAAAACAAGCCAAAAAAAGAAAAUAGACCUUUAGUCCCGGUUUUUGGCUCCAACCGAGACUAAAGGGAGGACCAUUAGUCCCGGUUGCAGACACCAACCAGGACUAAAGGUGGUAAACCCCUUUUGUCCCGGUUGGUGUGUGCAACCGGGACUAAAGGUCUCAUUCGAACCAGGACUAAUGUCUACCAAGCUCCGUCUAGCAUUCUGACCGCUCGAACCGAGAUUGAUGCACGUAUUAGUCUAUGUUCGUAAGUCGAUCGUGACUCAUACUCUUAUCAGGCCAGGACCAAAGCCGUGUUUCCUACUAGUGAACAUGCACCAAAUUCAUCUAUAAAUAUAAAAUUUAAAGCAAUAUAUACCUUGCAAGUAUUUUGUCAAACACCUUGUGGGCGCCGAGCUGCAAACAAUCGUCGCACGUUGUUCGUCAAAGGAACGGUGCGCUCAAGGGGUGACGGUUAGGAGAGAAGGUUGAGGAAGCAUCAGUGGCCAUCGGGAGAAGCAGGAGGAGCGACGACGUGCUAGGGAGAGGCGGCAGAAGCGCCGACGACACGUACACGCGGAGGCGCCAGCGCCAGGAGAUUUUAGAUCCGUGGUGAUUCACGUGCAUGAUUCGCUUGUCCAGCGUGCUGGAGCGGAUACAUCAAAUAAACUACGUGCAAUGCAACUUUUCUCAGUGUGCUGACGUUUGUUUACUGUAUGCGGGGUUAUAACAUGGCUACUGAAACACUACUUUUAACAACGUGCCCUAUAUAAUCGUUUUUCUGAGCGCGCUGCUUAUUUAGUACAUCUGUUGAAGAUGCUUUAAGCUUGUAGCACUUAGGAUAUGAGAUUGAGGUCUAGUGUCAAGCGAGUUCUCGAGCUUUAGACGUGAGAGACCCUGACCGCUUCUUCUAGCAAAUAGAUUUGUGACAGAUUAACAGAUGUGUGUGAAUAUUUUACAUUGCUCUACUUAAACAAGUCCAGGGAUGCGUGAAUAUUUACAUUGCUCUACUUAAACAAGUCCAGGGAUGCAUAUAGGUUUGUGUAUGUUUUCAUAAAAUAAAGUUUGUGUUGCUUUCAUCCUAAAAUAAGUAUCUUAAGUUUAGUAUAAUUUUAUCAAAAAAAUAACGUUUACAUGUAUGGGCGUUUGCAAACCACCCACACGUAUGGAUUGUCGUUCGUUUGUGGUUUGCACGAAUCUUGGCAAGUUUUGCCAAAAUUUCUAUGCCACGUAGGACUGGGAUCGUGUGUGGGCAUUUCAUCCGGUCGCCCACACGUUCGUUCACGCACGUAGAAUGGCUGGUGUGUGGGCGUUUAUCAAUUCGACCACACGUUUGUUUCAUACACGCAGAUGAGCUGGUGUGUGAGCGUUUAUCAGUUCGCCCACACGCCUGUUUCACCUCCACUUGCCCGCAUGAUCGCCACCCGUCUCCUCUCCCACACCCCCAAACUGUCGGUUGCCAUGUUUUUUUGUAGUGGUACAUGGCAACUGUCUAGUGUGCUUGUAAGCAGAUGACAACCCUCUCUCUCUUAACUGAAUAUGUUAUUUUUGUAACUACCUAGUGUGCUUAGAAGCAUAUGGCAACUCCAAGAUAUUAUUUUUGCCUUGUCUAUCAAGUGUUAUAUGACAACUGUUUAGUGUUAGUAGGUGGCAACUCCUAAAGUUUUCAUAUCAUGGCAACUAUAGUAGACCAGGCCAUACAUGGCAACAGCCGGAGUUGUUCAUAAAUGACAAGUGGACUUGACCUGAGAUGACAACUGCAGUAAACCAGGCCAUACAUGGCAACAACUACAUUUGACCUGAGAUGGCAAUUGCAGUUUGCUCAGACAUAGCGACUGUAGCUGAACAACCAUGGCAACUGCAGUUCAGCAACCAUGGCAAUUGUAGUUAAACAAACAUGAAAGAGGGGCCAAACGGGUUCGGAGGUGAGGGCGCGUGUUGGCUGUUACACGGGCAUGCGGGACCAUGGGGUAGGAGACCGGACGUGCGGACGUUACCUGUUUUGCCCACACGUAGGCGUUUGGACGGGACCGCGAGACAUGAGGCCGGACGUGUGGGCAUGAUUUGUUUGACCCACAUGUAGGCGUGUGAGCUGGUUUUCUUAGAUACCACACGAGACGUAUGACAAGACUCUUAACGUCCGCACGUGUGGGCGUUAUCAUGACCCUAAUUUUAUAUUAAAGUUAGUACAAAGACAAUUAUUUUAGUACGGAGGUAGUAUAUUGCAAACUGUGAACAUGAUGGUCGAUUACUGAACUUUGGGUUUAUUCAUCCACACAGAGCUACUUCAUUUUUGCUUGUGUGUAAAACUUAAAACUGCAAUAAUACUCUAUGCCAUGCAUCAUCAUCACAUGACAUCACAAAAAGGAAAAUAAUAAUAAUAGUCCAACAUGCAUUGAUUAAACUCAAGAAUUUCAUUCCAGAACGAGCAGAAUUCAUGAAUCUGAAUAAUGCUGCCCUUCAAACAGAAGGAUGCCCUCGAGACGUUGGGUUGCAAUGCAAGAGUCUAGACUUUGUCGUCCGGAGCAGACAGCUUGCGCCUGCAGAGAGGGCACAUCUCGCUCCCCUUGAGGGUGUCCGCCAGGCAUGCGCCAUGGAAGACGUGGGGCAGGGAGCACCCGGGCCACACGGCGAGGUCGCUUUCCAGCAGCUCGAAGCAAACGGAGCACUCCUGCCCGGCGACCUCCUCCGCCACGACCUUCCUCCGCUUUGCCGGCCGCCCGCAGUCGCCGUCGGCGGCUUCAGCUUCUGCCGCGCACUGCGCGUGCACGGGCUCCGGCAGGCUCAGCUCCAUGGCGACGUGGUACCCGGGCCAUGGAUCCGCUAUCAUUCCCUGCAGCGCGUCCAUCACGACAUCCAUGCGACCCGGCGUGUAGUCCUCGAGCCGGAGGAUGCCGACGUCGGCGAUCACCUUGAGACGCGUGGUCCCCGGCGGGAUGCACACGGCCACGUUUGAGACCAGCUUGGACCACAGGGCCUGGAGCUCGCUGCUGUGGUGGGAGGGGUAUAUGAGCGGCGCCAGCGACGCCCCUGCCCACUGGAGCGAGCCCGCCGCGUCGCCGGCCGGCGGGACGGCGAACCGGAGAUAGUGCAGUUUCGUCUUCUUGGACACCUCCAGCCCCAGGUCGCCGGGCGCCGCCUCAAACUCGGUAUACCGGUAGAGGACCAAGAUCUCCUUGCCACCUGCUUGUCCUUGGCUACUGGCAGCCGGGAGAUCAGCCGGCGGCGGCACCACGACGGCGACGCCCAGGAAGCCGGCCGUGUUCCCCGCGGAGGCGAACCGCGGUGCCGGCCCAAGGAAUCGGCCUUCGGGUACGUACAGCCACCGGUGUAGUGGCGGCCCGCCCGUGACGCCGCUCGCCCCGGUCGCGACGACUGCAUCGAUCUUGAGCGGGACGUCGACCUCGUCGUCGCUGUCCUCCUCAUAGUAGCUUUCAUCAUCGCUCUCAAACAACUCCUCGUCCUCCUCCUUGUCGCCCGCCAAAGCCAAAGGCGACGGGAGCGCGAGGACAGCCGCGCGGGCGGAGUCGUCCGGCUGCAUCAUCAUCAGCGAAACCCUCUCGUCCAUUGACCGAUCAGCAGAUGCGCGAUGGAUGGGAGCUUCUAGUAGUUGAAGGCGGAGUUGGUUCCCGAUCGACGGCAAGGGAUGAGAGGAUGGAACGUGUUGGCUUCAAACCCAUCUUUUAUUGACUGACUCGCGCCCAAUCCGAAACCGGCUCCAAGCAGGAGAAUGUUCGCGUUCCGUUUCAAAACAGGAAAGAAACGCCCGUCGGAAAGCAAUUUGCUUUUCAAUCAUUCAGAAAAAGAAGGAAACCAGGGAGGGGAGAAAUCUUAAAAGUGCAAGAAACGACGAAAGCAAUUUGCUUUUCAAUCAUUCAGAAAAAGAAAGAAACCAGGGAGGGGAGAAAUCUUAAAAGUGCAAGAAACGAGAGAUAAAAAAAAUUCGCCGUUGCCGGGGAUCGAACCCGGGUCACCCGCGUGACAGGCGGGAAUACUUACCACUAUACUACAACGACUUUGUUGUUCGCGAAUUCCUUAGGGACUACAGGCAGAACAUAAGACAGCAUAGUCAAUGUGUUUGCAGUUCUUGUGGUGCUUCCAGCCGAUUGCUUCCUUCCCGCUCCCGGCUCAACAGUCACCCGGAAGACAUGGCGUCAGAGAGGAAGAGAAUUCCAGAUACACUGGUGUAUAAUAACAUGCUUUUGGAAACAAAACCGAAGAUUAUUGCCAGGCUUUGUUGAAAGAGAAGGAACCAGGACAUGCAACACAAAGUAAAAUUGCACCCUCCGACCAGAAGGAGCUAAAGAUCAAUACUGAGUAAUUUCAGCGGCUGUAGUAAUGUGUUUCUACAAUUCUAUUUCUCUGUUCCCAAUCCAGUAAAGCCUCCGUUGCGGUGACUUUUGUUAACAGUGUUGGUUGCAACUUGCCACGAGAAUCAUGACAAGAUAGACAGGGCUGGUCCUGAGAUUUCAGGGGCCGAGGGUGAAACUAAAUCUAGGGUCCUUUUUUACUAAAGACCUAAACAUAAAGACAAAUAAGUAUAGCAAAAAAUAUUUUGAAUCGCUAAUAAAAGAAAAUAGAACAAUUUUCACUUAUAAGUCUCUCUUUACUAAUGCAUUCGGUAGCUUUACUGUUAAAUUUAUUUCCUGGUUUAUUUAUCCUAAUCAGAUACAGUGAAAACUCGCACACGGUCAAGACUAAUGGAUGAUUUUGCUCGCAAAAAAAAGAGACUAAUGGAUGAUUUAAGGAAAAAGUCAAUUUUGAACCCUGAACUGGUAGAUGUCUGCCGAAAUUAACCCCCAAAUACAAAUCCCUGUCGAUUGCACCCUCAAGUAACAAAUCCCGGUCUAAAUUGAACCUUUGUGUGCUUUGUCAAACGGGGAUUGGUCAUGUGGCCAGGAAUGCUUGCGUUGGCGACGGGCUGGACCGUAAAGAGCACAGCUGGACUGGGUCGGCCCACUAAUUCUGGUCUGGGAGGGUGUUGGACAGGCCCGCGAGGUUGAAGAGCCCUCCACAACUCCACCUCCUCCAUGCCUUCCCCUCUUCCACCUCUCUCACGCGGCAGCAAUGGCGACCGGCGGGUGAUCGGUUGUACGGCGACGAUCGUGACGGCGCGGUAGCGCAAACAAGUGGAGGUAAACACCCCGAUGCCCUCCUCCUCCGAUACUCAUAGUUUAGGCUCUCAUUGCGGCAAUUUUGUUAGGGUUUACACAGGUUUUGGGGUAGGGUUUUUUUCGGGCAAACAAGUUGCGAUUUUUUCGAUUUAGCCGUAGAUUUCGAUGUUGAAAUGUACAUAUAGGUUAAUUUUUGCUCCUACUAUUUGUCUACUGCAGUGAUAGCAUGGAUCCCACCGAGAUUUUGCAUGUCUGUUUCCAUCUGGGUGGGGAAUUCAUUCGUACUAGCCCCAAUCUGCAAUAUGAUGGAGGAGAUGAAGCUAUGUCACACAUAGAAAGGGACAAAUUAUCUCUGCAGGAAGUAAAGGGCUUUUUGAAGGAUCACAUUGCACUGAAGGAGUCUAUGAAGUUUUAUUUCUUAAUUCCUGGUCAAGAACUUGUGAAUGGCUUGAUGUUUCUGGAUGAUGACAAUAAAUGUCUUAAGAUGGUAGAUUAUGUAGAUGUUGGUGCUAUUGCAGAUGUCUAUGUAGAGUACCAUGGAGAAGAAGAUAGUGCUGAGAGUAGCACUACGAGUGACUUUGAGGAUGAGAUAGUUUCUUGGACAGAUUUUGAACCUGAUGUUGUGAUCAGAGCUGCAGAGCCUGCUAAAUCUGACACUGAUGUGCUUAUCACUGAUGCAACAUGUGUGGUCAGACAAGUUAUUAGCAGUCCUCAGAAGCACAGAAGCACUGGAAGGCAUGACAAUGUGACUGAACCUCCAAAUGUUAGUGAAGGACCAUUUUCUCAAGUGCUUGAUCCAACUCAACACACACUUGCUGCAGCAGGGAAUGAUGUUGUUGAUUCUGAUUCUGAUUCAGACAGUGACUUUGUGUACAUUCCACAUAGUGAUGACAGUGGAGAAGAUUCAGAGGUUGUGGAGCUAAGGAGACAUGCUAGGAAGUUCAAGAAAAAAAUGAGAGAUAGCAAGAGUUGGAUUGGAAGUGAUGCAACAGGUCCAGUACCAAUUGAUCUUAUUGCCAACAUGGAGCAACAAAUAGCAACAGAACAAGAUGACUGGAAGUAUGAUUCUUCUGAUGAGGAAUAUAGUUAUGAUGAAGAUUCAGAUGGGGUGUUAGUGAAGAGAAAGAGCCAGUUCAUCAGGUAUAAUAAUGACACUGAGAUACCCCACUUUGAAUUGAACAUGGUUUUCAGAACCAAGAACCAGUUUUGCAAAGCUUUGAGAAGGUAUGGUCUAGUUACUAAGAGGAGUAUCAGGUUCUUGAAAUCAGAAAGUGACAGGGUUAGGGCCAAGUGUGGAUGGGAUGGUUGCCCUUGGCUCAUCUAUGCAGCUAAGAGGUCAAGAACAUCUAGAUUCCAAGUGAUCACAUUUAAUGAUCAUCAUGAAUGUGCAUAGAACAGAUGCAACAAGCUUGUGACUGCUAAAUUGAUUGCACAGAGGUAUGAGCACUUCAUACUAGCUAAUCCUAUGUGGAAAAUUGAAAGCAUGAAUGCCACAGUGCUGAAAGACAUGUUUGUUGAUGUUUCAACCUCAAAGUGCAAGCAUGCAUAGGCAAUUGUGAUGGAGAGAUUGAUGAGUGGUAUGAAGAAUGAAUAUACCAGGGUGUUUGAUUAUCAAUUGGAGCUGCUUAGGAGCAAUCGAGGAAGCAUUGUUGACUGUGUGCCUUGAUCCUUCAAACAUGGACCAAAAUAUAUUUCAGAGUUUCUAUGUUUGUUUCAAUGCAAUGAAGCAAGGAUUCAAGGCUGGAUGCAGGAAACUGAUAGGUCUAGAUGGAUGAUUCUUCAACGGGGAGUGAAGGGUGGGUUAUUGUGUGCCAUAGGGAGGGAUGCUAACAAUCAGAUGUAUCCACUUGCUUGGGCUGCAGUUGAGCAGGAAACCAAUGAAACUUGGAAGUGGUUUAUUGGUUUACUCAUAAAGGAUCUUGACAUCAACAACAAUGGAGAAGGGUGGGUAUUUAUCUCUGACCAACAGAAGGUCCUAAUCAAUGCCAUGAAGGACUAUCUUCCAGCUGCAGAGCACAUAAUGUGUGCUAGACACAUAUAUGCUAACUAGAGGAAGAAGCACAGAGCUCAUGAUUGGCAGAAAAAAUUCUGGGAUGUUGCCAAAGCAUCCAAUCAGCAAGAUUUCAACUAUUACAAGGCCAAGCUUGCACAAGAGACACCUGAAGGAGCUCAAGACAUGACGAAGACACAACCAGUGCAUUGGGCUAGGGCUUUUUUCCAGUGGGAACAAAUUGUGAGUUAGUUGACAAUAAUCUAUGUGGGUCAUUUAACCAUGCAAUUGUUGAUGCUAGGUUCUAUCCACUCAUUUCCAUGCUAGAGAAGAUCAGGAAAAAUAUAUUUGUGAGAAUUCAAGAGCAGAAGGAGAAGGGUGAGAAAAUGACAGGGACAAUAUGCCCUGGUAUCUUUAAGAAGCUCAAAAAUCUAUUGCUUGGACACAAUAUCUUGAAGUGAUUUGGAAUGGAGAAAAUGGGUAUGAAGUGAAGCAUAUCAAUGGAAGGGGAAGGCAGUACAUUGUUGAUAUUCAAGCAAGGACAUGCUCUUGUGGGUAAUUCCAGUUGUCUGGUCUCCCCUGCCACCAUGCCAUUUCUGCUAUCUACAAGUGUAAGAAGACAAUUGAUGAGUAUAUUCAUCCUUGCUACUCAGUUGAGGUUUUCAAGAAAAUAUAUGGUCCUUGCUUGCAACCAGUGGAAGGGGAGGAGAUGUGGCCUGUAUAUCAGAAUCCUAGGCCUCAAGCUCCUAGUUAUGUGAGAAUGCCUGGAAGGCCUAAAAAAUGACAAGAGAAGAGAAGAAACAUAAGCUCCUAAGGCAAAAAAAUGAGCAAACAUGGAACCAUAAUUAAAUGUUCUAUGUGUGGAGAAGCUGGACACAACAAGUCAGGUUGCAAGAAGAAUUCUGAGAGAGGAAAGAAGAAGAAUGCACAUCUCACCAAAACUAGCAAGAAAAAGAGCACAAUUGAGGUAUAUAUGAAUUUAAAUGCUUGCACAUGCUCUUACAUGAAUUUAAAUGCUUCUAGUCAAUUAUAUGCUUGCAUAUGCUUUUACAUUAUUUUAAAUGCCUGACUAUUUUCCGUCUUUAUCAAAUACCAGCAAGCAUCUGGUUCUGGCUCUGCAUCUCAACCACAACCACAACCAGCAAGUACUAACAGUGCACCUGCUCAACAAGCAGCAGCUAGAACCGGUGCACCUGCUCAACAAGCAGCAGCUAGAACCGGUGCACCUGCUCAACAAGCAGCAGCUAGAACCGGUGCACCUGCUCAACAAGCAGCAACUAGAACCAGUGCACCUCAAGCCUCUGCACCUGGUACUAAUGCCAACAAGUUCAAUCCUCCAAGGAAGAGAGCUGCAACUACUGCAGCUGGAUCAUCUUCAGUCACAACACCUGGAGCAUCUACUUCUACAGUGAGAGGAACUGGAGCAAAGAGAGGAAGAAGGGUUGCAUCCUGAGUUCCAAGCUACAAGUACUUCACCUGCAGUGUAAACUACUAGUUAUGCCACCAGCUUGCAUGUUCUACUACUUUUGAUGAUGUUGCAGUGUUGAAAACAUUUGAAAUGUAAUAUUGCAAACAUCUACUUUUGUGAUAGCCUGAAAACAAACAUGUAUCAGGUUAUGGAUGGUAUAUGCCCUGUAAUGGAUGUUACUAUCAUGUUGCAAUGGAUGCAAUGGAUGCUAUGGAUGUUAUAUGACCUAUAUGCUAUACUGGAGUACAAUUAAGAUCUAAAAUAGAUGCUCUAUGCUAUGGAUGCUAUAAAAUAGAUGGAAUCCAAAAUGACAGGGACAAUUUAACACAAACUUGUUGCAUUGCACACACCAUAAUUAUUACAAUGAUCUAGUACUUGUCCAUAGCAAACUACAUUGAAACUGCAGUGCAACUACAUUGCUUACAAAGCCAACACUGCAUGAACAUCUUGCUUGCAACUACACCCAACACAAACACAAUGAACACAAAUACAACAUUAUCAUAUUUGGCCUUCACAGCAACCAAUUCUUCAUUCUUCUCCCUCAGUUCAUCUUGCACAGAUACAAGCAUCAUUGUUGUUUCAUCAUCAUUGGCAGUCAUAGUUGCAGUGUGAUCUUCCACCUGAGACACACUCCUCUGCCCUUUCAGCAUCCACACCUCAUCACGAAGAUCACCAAUCAGGUCACUUAGAAAUUUGGGCAGCUCAGAGUCAUGCCACUCAACAUAGCCGCAGCCACCAUGUUGUUCAAAUGCAGAGAGAAGAAACAAUCAAAACAGAGAGGAGAAGAAAUCAAACACAGAGGAGAAGAAAAUCAAACAGAGAGGAUAAGAUAUGGGGAACUCACCAGCGCAUUCAUGCAGGAGUAGUAUCUCCUUCCUGGAUUUUGAUGGCUCCACGAGAUCCAGCGCGGUGCCUUCCUCGGAGGAUCGCACCAGCACAUCUUCGCAGGCUCGUACGCCAUGGCAUCCUCGCGGUAGCGCACCGGCGAACGCGCAUCUGCCGCUCGCCUUCCUGCAUCACGACGGAAUCCUCGAGCCGACACAUCAGCACUCCACAACCACGACAUAUCCCUCUCCGGCGCUGGCGCUAGCCUCUGCCGUGGCACUAUGAUUUCUCCUCCACCCUCAUCUGAUUUCUCACCGCUCGAUGAACCCUAGCUUUGUUCCCCAAUCGACUGGAUAUUUCUGUUGGAGUAGGUGCGGUGCAGUUAAGAAAUGGUCCCACCCGUCAAAAUCCUGGUUGACUACGGCCGUGUCGUCAGUUAUUAGCAUCAAACCACUCUAAGGUUAGAUUUAAAUCGGGAUUUGUUACUUCAGGGUGCAAUCGACAGGGAUUUGUACUUGGGGGUCAAUUUCGGCAGACAUGUACGAGUUCAGGGUUCAAAAUUUACCUUUUCCAUGAUUUAACUCCCAAUGAUCACUCACGCUGUCAUCCAUUUAGAUUUCAGACUAGUGUGUACCUCCAUAGCAAUUACAAGCAAGUUGCCAAACAAAAAAAUCAAAUCCAAUUUCAUCUAUCCAUUAACAAUACUCAUAAAUCGAUUAUUAGUAUCCAAUUGCAACAGCGCAGAGGCCAUGUCGAUGAUCAUUCAUACCAUCAUGAUAAAAUUUCCUACCUAGGUCUUAGACUAUCAGUACAAAUAAUGAUUAGAGACAUACCUUUGCUUCUAUAAUUGUAAUCGUACCCUAACAGUACGAUCUAGCCUCCCGGCGAGUCCGUGUUGUCUUGUGCGAGGUCGUGCUCACUAUCUCCGGCAGUCUAGCCCUCCUACGAAAUAGACCUGCUCUGACCUGAGGCGGCACCAUGCACGCAUAGUAGAUGGAUAUCAAGCUUCCCGAUCUUGAUUUAUUCUUCACGAUCACAAUUUUGAUCUAUUCUCAUUCAUGUGUGGCAUUGUCACUUUCCAUUAGUUAUGUUUUUCUAAUUUUCUCACAAAUUAGGUGCAUAACUUUAGGCAUGUGGAUUAAGGAAGGCAUUUUUUGCUACAAGAUUAAGGAAGAAAAUAAGAGCGGAUUUUUUAUCACAACUACGCUGAAUUAAUUGCAUGCACUAACUGCUCUAGUAAUCAAUCACAAGGGCCCUGAGUCGUACUACUAGCACACGAAUGAAGGAAGGUGAGAAAAAGUUGGGAAAAGAUUGCAGGAGUGGGACGCCCAUUUUCUCUUGUUGGAGUACGUAAAUCAAGGAAAAGAUUGCAUGAGUGGAUAAAUACAUCGGCAUUCUAGGCUAGGUGCUAGGCCAACUAAGAGCAGAAUUGGGGGCCCCUUGGCACAUGGGGGCCCGGGGCGGCCGCCCCGCUCGCCCCCCCUCAGGGCUGGGCCUGAAGAUAGAUGCCUCAACAUUCGAGUAAAAAGAUUUUUUAAGCUUCUAACCAAUGCCAUCCCUCUGUCCCAUGAUAAAUCGUACUGGCUAUACAUUGUGUAAAGCACAUUAAGUGAAUGAAUGAUUAAAUCCAAGUUGAGUAAAAAGAAUCGAAACUCAUGAUCUUCUUUGUUGCCAUCCGCAAUGGUCAUCUUGCCUUCAGCAGAGCAACCGUGUCAUAAAACUUGAUGACGGUUCGGUAUAGUUGAGUUAUAGGUGUUGGUGACCGAAGGUUGUUCGGAGUCCCGGAUGAGAUCCUGGACGUCACGAGGAGCUCCGGAAUGGUCCGGAGGUAAAUACUGAUACAUAGGAAGUCCUGUUUUGGUCACCGGAAAGGUUUCGGGCUCAUCGGUAGUGUACCGGGAGUGCCGGGAGGGUGCCGGUGGACCACCGGGAGGGGUGUGACGACCCAAGAGCCUUGUGGGCUGUGAGAAGAGGUGGACCAUUCCCUGGUGGUCUGGCCCAAGCCUCUCUGAAAGGCCCAUGCGGCUAGGAGAAGAGAUAAAAGGGUAAAGGACUUUUAAAAGGAAGGGAAGGAGGAGUCCUCCCAAAGUAGUCCACCUUCCCACAAGGAAGUUGGACUCUUCCUUUGGUUCGGCCGACCCCUCUCCUUGGAGGAGGGGCCAAGGAUGCCUCCUCUCCUCUCCUCCUAUAUAUACUAAAGGUUUUGAGGGUUUUUGAGACACAACAAUAAGCCAUGUUGUGCCCUCUCUCUAGAUCUGUUUCUCCUCUGGUCUAGUUUUUAGCGGUGCUUAGGCGAAGCCCUGCUGGACUAGCUCCACCACCAUCACCGUCACACCGUCGCGAUGCCAAAGAACUCAUCUACCUAUCCUCCCCCUCUUGCUGGAUCAAGAAGGCGGAAGUCAUCGUCGAGAUGUACGUGUGCUGAACGCGGAGGUGCCGUCCGUUCGGCGCUAGAUCGGACGGAUCGUGGGACGGCUGUUGGAAUUAUGCCCUAGAGGCAAUAAUAAAUGUAUAGUUAUUAUUAUAAUUCCUGUAUCAAGAUAAUAGUUUAUUAUCCAUGCUAUAAUUGUAUUGAAUGAAGACUCAUUUACAUGUGUGGAUACAUAGACAAAACACCGUCCCUAGCAUGCCUCUAGUUGGCUAGCCAGUUGAUCGAUGAUAAUCAGUGUCUUCUGAUUAUGAACAAGGUGUUGUUGCUUGAUAAACUGGAUCACGUCAUUAGGAGAAUCACGUGAUGGACUAGACCCAAACUAAUAGACGUAGCAUGUUGAUCGUGUCAUUUUGUUGCUACUGUUUUCUGCGUGUCAAGUAUUUAUUCCUAUGACCAUGAGAUCAUAUAACUCACUGACACCGGAGGAAUGCUUUGUGUGUAUCAAACGUCGCAACGUAACUGGGUGACUAUAAAGAUGCUCUACAGGUAUCUCCGAAGGUGUUAGUUGAGUUAGUAUGGAUCAAGACUGGGAUUUGUCACUCCGUGUGACGGAGAGGUAUCUCGGGGCCCACUCGGUAAUACAACAUCACACACAAGCCUUGCAAGCAAUGUAACUUAGUGUAAGUUACGGGAUCUUGUAUUACGGAACGAGUAAAGAGACUUGCCGGUAAACGAGAUUGAAAUAGGUAUGCGGAUACUGACGAUCGAAUCUCGGGCAAGUAACAUACCGAAGGACAAAGGGAAUGACAUACGGGAUUAUACGAAUCCUUGGCACUGAGGUUCAAACGAUAAGAUCUUCGUAGAAUAUGUAGGAUCCAAUAUGGGCAUCCAGGUCCCGCUAUUGGAUAUUGACCGAGGAGUCUCUCGGGUCAUGUCUGCAUAGUUCUCGAACCCGCAGGGUCUGCACACUUAAGGUUCGACGUUGUUUUAUGCGUAUUUGAGUUAUAUGGUUGGUUACCGAAUGUUGUUCGGAGUCCCGGAUGAGAUCACGGACGUCACGAGGGUUUUCGGAAUGGUCCGGAAACAAAGAUUGAUAUAUAGGAUGACCUCAUUUGAUUACCGGAAGGUUUUCGGAGUUACCGGGAAUGUACUGGGAAUGACGAAUGGGUUCCGGGAGUUCACCGGAGGGGGGCAACCCACUCCGGGGAAGCCCAUAGGCAUUUGGGGGGGGUCACACCAGCCCUUAGUGGGCUGGUGGGACAGCCCACCAAUCCCCUAUGCGCCAAGAGAGAAAAAAUCAAAGGAAAAAAAAAGGAGAAGUGGGAAAGGGGAAGGACUCCCUCCCACCAAACCAAGUAGGACUCGGUUUGGGGGGGAGAGUCCUCCACCCUGGCUCGGCCGACCCCUUGGGGAUCCCUUGGACCCCAAGGCAAGGUCCCCCUCCCUCCUCCUAUAUAUAUGGGGCUUUUAGGGCAGAUUUGAGACGACUUUCUCACGGCUGCCCGACCACAUACCUCCAUAGUUUUUCCUCUAGAUCGCGUUUCUGCGGAGCUCGGGCGGAGCCCUGCUGAGACGAGAUCAUCACCAACCUCCGGAGCACCGUCACGCUGCCGGAGAACUCUUCUACCUCUCCGUCUCUCUUGCUGGAUCAAGAAGGCCGAGAUCAUCGUCGAGCUGUACGUGUGCUGAACGCGGAGGUGCCGUCCGUUCGGUACUAGAUCGUGGGACUGAUCGCGGGAUUGUUCGCGGGGCGGAUCGAGGGACGUGAGGACGUUCCACUACAUCAACCGCGUUCUCUAACGCUUCUGCUGUACGAUCUACAAGGGUACGUAGAUCAUUCAUCCCCUCUCGUAGAUGGACAUCACCAUGAUAGGUCUUCGUGCGCGUAGGAAAAUUUUUGUUUCCCAUGCGACGUUCCCCAACAGUGGCAUCAUGAGCUAGGUUCAUGCGUAGAUGUCUUCUCGAGUAGAACACAAAAGGUUUUGUGGGCGGUGAUGUGCGUUUUGCUGCCCUCCUUAGUCUUUUCUUGAUUCCGCGGUAUUGUUGGAUUGAAGCGGCUUGGACCGACAUUACUCGUACGCUUACGAGAGACUGGUUUCAUCGUUACGAGUAACCCCCUUUGCUCAAAGAUGACUGGCAAGUGACGGUUUCUCCAACUUUAGUUGAAUCGGAUUUGACCGAGGAGGUCCUUGGAUGAGGUUAAAUAGCAACUCAUAUAUCUCCGUUGUGGUGUUUGCGUAAGUAAGAUGCGAUCCUACUAGAUACCCUUGGUCACCACGUAAAACAUGCAACAACAAAAUUAGAGGACGUCUAACUUGUUUUUGCAGGGUAUGAUUGUGAUGUGAUAUGGCCAAUGAUGUGAUGUGAUAUAUUGGAUGUAUGAGAUGAUCAUGUUGUAAUAGAAAUAUCGACUUGCACGUCGAUGGUACGGCAACCGGCAGGAGCCAUAGGGUUGUCUUUAUACUAACAUAUGUGCUUGCAGAUGCGUUUACUAUUUUGCUAGGAUGUAGCUUUAGUAGUAAUAGCAUAAGUAGCGCGACAACCCCGAUGGCAACACGUUGAUGGAUGAUCAUGGUGUGGCGCCGGUGACAAGAAGAUCGUGCCGGUGCUUUGGUGAUGGAGAUCAAGAAGCACGUGAUGAUGGCCAUAUCAUGUCACUUAUGAAUUGCAUGUGAUGUUAAUCCUUUUAUGCACCUUAUUUUGCUUAGAACGACGGUAGCAUUAUAAGGUGAUCUCUCACUAAAAUUUCAAGACGAAAUUGUGUUCUCCCCGACUGUGCACCGUUGCUACAGUUCGUCGUUUCGAGACACCACGUGAUGAUCGGGUGUGAUAGACUCAACGUUCACAUACAACGGGUGCAAAACAGUUGCGCACGCAGAACACUCGGGUUAAGCUUGACGAGCCUAGCAUGUGCAGACAUGGCCUCGGAACACAUGAGACCGAAAGGUCGAUCAUGAAUCAUAUAGCUGAUAUGAUUAGCAUAGGGAUGCUUACCACUGAAACUACUCUCGACUCACGUGAUGAUCGGACUUGGGAUAGUGUAAGUGGAUCAUGAACCACUCAAAUGACUAGAGAGAUGUACUUUUUGAGUGGGAGUUUAGCAUAUAAUUUGAUUAAGUUGAACUCUAAUUAUCUUGAACAUAGUCUAAAGUCCACUUUGAAUAUAUUUGUGUUGUAGAUCAUGGCUCACGCAAGUGUCAUCCUCAAUUUUAAUACGUUCCUAGAGAAAGCUAAGUUGAAAGAUGAUGGAAGCAACUUUGUAGACUGGGCUCGUAAUCUUAAGCUAAUCUUACAAGCUGGAAAGAAGGAUUAUGUCCUUAAUGCUGCGCUAGGAGAUGAACCACCCGCUACGGCUGAUCAGGAUGUUAAGAACGCUUGGUUAGCGCGUAAGGAGGACUACUCAAUAGUUCAAUGUGCAGUCUUGUAUGGCUUAGAACCGGGACUUCAACGUCGCUUUGAGCGUCAUGGAGCAUUUGAGAUGUUCCAGGAGUUAAAGUUUAUCUUUCAGAAGAACGCCCGGAUCGAGAGGUAUGAGACCUCCGAUAAAUUCUAUGCUUGCAAGAUGGAGGAAAACUCGUCUGUCAGUGAACAUGUGCUCAAAAUGUCUGGGUACUCAAACCGUCUAGCUGAACUGGGGAUUGAACUCCCGCAAGAAGCUAUCACUGACAGAAUCCUUCAAUCACUGCCGCCAAGCUAUAAAGGCUUUGUGUUGAACUACAACAUGCAAGGGAUGAACAAGUCUCCCGGCGAGUUGUUUGCGAUGCUGAAAGUCGCAGAGUCUGAACUCCGUAAAGAGCAUCAAGUGUUGAUGGUGAGCAAGACCACUAGUUUCAAGAGAAACGGCAAAGGCAAGAAGGGCAAUUCCAAGAAGAGCGGCAAGCCUGUUGCCAAUCCACCGAAGAAGCCCAAGGCCGGACCUAAGCCUGAAACAGAGUGCUUCUAUUGCAAGGGUAUGGGUCACUGGAAGCGCAAUUGCCCCAAGUAUCUGGCAGAUAAGAAGGCGGGCAAAGAAAAAUCAGGUAUAUUUGAUAUACAUGUUAUUGAUGUGUACUUAACCGGCUCUCGUAGUAGUGCCUGGGUAUUCGAUACCGGUUCUGUUGCUCACAUUUGCAACUCGAAGCAGGAACUGCGGAAUAGACGAAGGCUGACGAAAGACGAAGUGACGAUGCGCGUAGGAAACGGUUCCAAAGUUGAUGCAAUCGCCGUCGGCACAGUGUCACUUCAACUACCAUCGGGAUUAGUGAUGAACUUAAAUCAUUGUUAUUUAGUGCCUGCGUUGAGCAUGAACAUUAUAUCUGGAUCUUGUUUAAUGCGAGACGGUUACUCUUUUAAGUCUGAGAAUAAUGGUUGUUCUAUUUCUAUGAGUAACAUCUUUUAUGGUCAUGCACCGAAUGUGAGAGGAUUGUUCAUAUUGAAUCUUGAUAGAGAUACGCAUAUACAUAACAUUGAGACCAAAAGAGUUAGAGUAAACAAUGAUAGCGCCAUAUUUUUGUGGCACUGCCGCUUGGGUCAUAUUGGUGUAAAGCGCAUGAAGAAACUCCAUGCUGAUGGACUUUUGGAGUCACUUGACUUUGAUUCACUUGACACGUGCGAACCAUGCCUCAUGGGCAAGAUGACUAAGACUCCGUUCUCCGGAACAAUGGAGCGUGCAAGUGACUUGUUGGAAAUCAUACAUACCGAUGUGUGUGGUCCAAUGAGCGUGGAGGCUCGCGGCGGAUAUCGUUACUUUCUCACCUUCACUGACGAUUUAAGUAGAUAUGGUUAUGUCUACUUGAUGAAGCACAAGUCUGAAACAUUUGAAAAGUUCAAACAAUUUCAGAGUGAAGUGGAAAAUCAUCGUAACAAGAAGAUCAAGUUCCUACGGUCUGAUCGUGGGGGUGAAUAUCUGAGUUUCGAGUUUGGUACUCACUUAAAACAAUGUGGAAUUGUUUCGCAGUUAACACCGCCUGGAACACCACAGCGUAAUGGUGUGUCCGAACGUCGUAAUCGUACUUUGUUAGAAAUGGUGCGAUCUAUGAUGUCUCUUACUGAUUUGCCGUUGUCGUUUUGGGGUUAUGCAUUAGAAACAACUGCAUUCACUUUAAAUAGGGCACCAUCGAAAUCCGUUGAGACGACACCAUACGAACUGUGGUAUGGCAAAAGGCCAAAGUUGUCGUUCCUUAAAGUUUGGGGAUGUGAUGCUUAUGUCAAAAAGCUUCAGCCUGAAAAGCUGGAACCCAAAUCGGAAAAGUGCGUCUUCAUAGGUUACCCAAAAGAGACAGUUGGGUACACCUUCUAUCUCAAAUCCGAGGGCAAAGUGUUUAUUGCUAAGAACGGAACUUUUCUCGAGAAGGAGUUUCUCUCAAGAGAAUUGAGUGGGAGGAAGAUAGAACUUGACGAGGUUGUCGAACUUCUCAUCCCUCUGGAUGGUGGCGCGGGGCAAGGGGAAACCUCUGUCAUUGCGACGCCGGUUGAGGAGGAAGUUAAUGAUGAUGAUCAUGAAACUCCAGUUCAAGUUUCUGUUGAACCACGCAGGUCGACGAGAUCACGCGCUGCUCCAGAGUGGUACGGUAAUCCCGUCUUAUCAAUCAUGUUGUUGGACAACAAUGAACCUGCAAAUUAUGAAGAAGCAAUGGUGGGCCCAGAUUCCAACAAAUGGCUAGAAGCCAUGAAAUCCGAGAUAGGAUCCAUGUAUGAGAACAAAGUGUGGACUUUGGAGAUACUGCCUGAAGGCCGCAAGGCUAUUCAGAACAAAUGGAUCUUUAAGAAGAAGACGGACGCUGACGGUAAUGUGACCGUUUAUAAAGCUCGACUUGUGGCAAAGGGUUUUUCACAAGUUCCAGGAAUUGACUACGAUGAGACUUUCUCUCCCGUAGCGAUGCUUAAGUCCGUCAGAAUCAUGUUAGCAAUAGCUGCAUUUUUCGAUUAUGAAAUCUGGCAGAUGGAUGUCAAAACGGCGUUCCUUAACGAUUUCCUUAAGGAAGAAUUGUAUAUGAUGCAACCCGAAGGUUUUGUCGAUCCUAAAAAUGCUGACAGGGUGUGCAAGCUCCAGCGAUCCAUUUAUGGACUGGUGCAAGCAUCUCGGAGUUGGAACAAACGCUUUGAUGAGGUGAUCAAAGCAUUUGGGUUUAUACAAGUGGUUGGAGAAUCUUGUAUUUACAAGAAAGUGAGUGGGAGCUCUGUGGCGUUUCUAAUAUUAUAUGUGGAUGACAUAUUACUGAUUGGGAACAACGUAGAGCUUUUGGAGAGCAUAAAAGUUUACUUGAAUAAAAGUUUCUCUAUGAAGGACCUAGGAGAAGCUGCUUACAUUCUAGGCAUUAAGAUCUAUAGGGAUAGAUCAAAACGCCUGAUAGGACUUUCACAAAGCACAUACCUUGAUAAAGUUUUGAAGAGGUUCAAAAUGGAACAGUCCAAGAAAGGAUUCUUACCAGUGUUACAAGGUACGAGAUUGAGUAAGACUCAGUGCCCAGCAACUGAUGAAGAUAGAGAGCAUAUGCGCUCCGUCCCCUAUGCUUCAGCCAUAGGCUCUAUCAUGUAUGCAAUGCUGUGCACUAGACCGGAUGUUAGCCUGGCCAUAAGUAUGGCAGGUAGGUUCCAGAGUAAUCCAGGAGUGGAUCACUGGACGGCGGUCAAGAAUAUCCUGAAGUACCUGAAAAGGACUAAGGAGAUGUUUCUCGUGUAUGGAGGUGAUGAAGAGCUCGCCGUAAAAGGUUACGUCGAUGCAAGCUUUGACACAGAUCCGGACGACUCUAAGUCGCAAACCGGAUACGUAUUUAUUCUUAAUGGGGGUGCAGUAAGCUGGUGCAGUUCCAAGCAAAGCGUCGUAGCAGAUUCUACAUGUGAAGCGGAGUACAUGGCUGCCUCGGAGGCGGCUAAGGAGGGUGUCUGGAUGAAGCAGUUCAUGACGGAUCUUGGAGUGGUGCCAAGUGCACUGGAUCCAAUAACCUUGUUCUGUGACAACACUGGUGCCAUUGCCUUAGCAAAGGAACCAAGGUUUCACAAGAAGACCAGACACAUCAAACGACGCUUCAACCUCAUCCGCGACUACGUCGAGGAGGAGGACGUAAAUAUAUGCAAAGUGCACACGGAUCUGAAUGUAGCAGACCCGCUGACUAAACCUCUUCCACGGCCAAAACAUGAUCGACACCAGAACUGUAUGGGUGUUAGAUUUAUUACAAUGUAAUUCACAUGGUGAUGUGAGGGCUAGAUUAUUGACUCUAGUGCAAGUGGGAGACUGUUGGAAUUAUGCCCUAGAGGCAAUAAUAAAUGUAUAGUUAUUAUUAUAAUUCCUGUAUCAAGAUAAUAGUUUAUUAUCCAUGCUAUAAUUGUAUUGAAUGAAGACUCAUUUACAUGUGUGGAUACAUAGACAAAACACCGUCCCUAGCAUGCCUCUAGUUGGCUAGCCAGUUGAUCGAUGAUAAUCAGUGUCUUCUGAUUAUGAACAAGGUGUUGUUGCUUGAUAAACUGGAUCACGUCAUUAGGAGAAUCACGUGAUGGACUAGACCCAAACUAAUAGACGUAGCAUGUUGAUCGUGUCAUUUUGUUGCUACUGUUUUCUGCGUGUCAAGUAUUUAUUCCUAUGACCAUGAGAUCAUAUAACUCACUGACACCGGAGGAAUGCUUUGUGUGUAUCAAACGUCACAACGUAACUGGGUGACUAUAAAGAUGCUCUACAGGUAUCUCCGAAGGUGUUAGUUGAGUUAGUAUGGAUCAAGACUGGGAUUUGUCACUCCGUGUGACGGAGAGGUAUCUCGGGGCCCACUCGGUAAUACAACAUCACACACAAGCCUUGCAAGCAAUGUAACUUAGUGUAAGUUACGGGAUCUUGUAUUACGGAACGAGUAAAGAGACUUGCCGGUAAACGAGAUUGAAAUAGGUAUGCGGAUACUGACGAUCGAAUCUCGGGCAAGUAACAUACCGAAGGACAAAGGGAAUGACAUACGGGAUUAUACGAAUCCUUGGCACUGAGGUUCAAACGAUAAGAUCUUUGUAGAAUAUGUAGGAUCCAAUAUGGGCAUCCAGGUCCCGCUAUUGGAUAUUGACCGAGGAGUCUCUCGGGUCAUGUCUGCAUAGUUCUCGAACCCGCAGGGUCUGCACACUUAAGGUUCGACGUUGUUUUAUGCGUAUUUGAGUUAUAUGGUUGGUUACCGAAUGUUGUUCGGAGUCCCGGAUGAGGUCACGGACGUCACGAGGGUUUCCGGAAUGGUCCGGAAACGAAGAUUGAUAUAUAGGAUGACCUCAUUUGAUUACCGGAAGGUUUUCGGAGUUACCGGGAAUGUACCGGGAAUGACGACUGGGUUCCGGGAGUUCACCGGAGGGGGGCAACCCACUCCGGGGAAGCCCAUAGGAUUUGGGGGGGUCACACCAGCCCUUAGUGGGCUGGUGGGACAGCCCACCAAUCCCCUAUGCGCCAAGAGAGAAAAAAUCAAAGGAAAGAAAAAAAAGGAGAAGUGGGAAAGGGGAAGGACUCCCUCCCACCAAACCAAGUAGGACUCGGUUUGGGGGGGGAGAGUCCUCCCCCCUGGCUCGGCCGACACCUUGGGGAUCCCUUGGACCCCAAGGCAAGGCCCCCCUCCCUCCUCCUAUAUAUAUGGGGCUUUUAGGGCAGAUUUGAGACGACUUUCUCACGGCUGCCCGACCACAUACCUCCAUAGUUUUUCCUCUAGAUCGCGUUUCUGCGGAGCUCGGGCGGAGCCCUGCUGAGACGAGAUCAUCACCAACCUCCGGAGCGCCGUCACGCUGCCGGAGAACUCUUCUACCUCUCCGUCUCUCUUGCUGGAUCAAGAAGGCCGAGAUCAUCGUCGAGCUGUACGUGUGCUGAACGCGGAGGUGCCGUCCGUUCGGUACUAGAUCGUGGGACUGAUCGCGGGAUUGUUCGCGGGGCGGAUCGAGGGACGUGAGGACGUUCCACUACAUCAACCGCGUUCUCUAACGCUUCUGUUGUACGAUCUACAAGGGUACAUAGAUCAUUCAUCCCCUCUCGUAGAUGGACAUCACCAUGAUAGGUCUUCGUGCGCGUAGGAAAAUUUUUGUUUCCCAUGCGACGUUCCCCAACAACGGCAUCGAUUUGGAUCGCGAAGACGUUCCACUACAUCAACCGCGUUUCUUAACGCUUCCCGCUUAGGGAUCUACAAGGGUAUGUGGAUCCGAUCUCCCUCUCGUAGAUGAUCAUCACCAUGAUAGGUCUUCGGUGAGUAGGAUUUUUUUUGUUUCCCAUGCAACGUUCCCCAACAGUGGCAUCAUGAGCUAGGUUCAUGCAUAGAUGAUAUCUCGAGUAGAACACAAAAGAGUUUGUGGGCGUUGAUGUUCAAUUUGCUGCCCUCCCGAGUCUUUUCUUGAUUCGGCGACAUUGUUGGAUUGAAGCGGCCCAUGACUGGCGGGUGUCUAUUUCUUCAACUUUAGUUGAAUUGGAUUUGACCAAGGCGGUCCUUGGAGAAGGUUAAAUAGCAAUUUUCAUAUCACCGUUAUGGCAUUGCGUAAGUAAGAUGCAAUCAUACUAGAUACCCAUAACAACCACGUAAAAUAUGCAACAACAAAUUAGAGGACGUCUAACUUGUUUUUGCAGGGUAUGCUUGUGAUGUGAUAUGGUCAAUGACAUGAUAUGAUAUAUUAGAUGUAUGAGAUGAUCAUGUUGUAAUAGUUCAAUAUAUCGACUUGCACGUCGAUGCUACGGCAACCGACAGGAGCCAUAUGGUUGUCUUUAAAUUUAUUUUACGCUUGCACAUGCUCUUGCUAUAUCGCUAGGCAACAACUUUAGUAGUAACAUCAUAGAUAGCGCGACAACCUUGAUGGAAGCACGAUAAUGGAGAUCAUGGUGCGGCGCCAAUGACGAUAGAGAUCAUGCCGGUGCUUUGGUGAUAGAGAUGAAGAAGCACAAGUUCAUGGCCAUAUCAUGUGACUUAUGAUUUGCAUGUGAUGUUAAUCCUUUUAUGCACCUUAUUUUUCUUAGGACGAUGGUAGCAUUAUAAGGUGAUCCCUCACUAAAAUUUCAAGAUAAAAUUGUGUUCUCCCCGACUGUGCACCAUUGCGACAGUUCGUCAUUUUGGGACACCACGUGAUGAUCGGGUAUGAUAGACUCAACGUUCACAUACAACAUGUGCAAAACAGCUGCACACACGGAACACUCGGGUAAACUUGACGACCCUAGCAUGUACAGACAUGGCCUCGGAACACAAGAGAUUGAAAGGUCGAGCAUGAAUCAUAUAGUUCAUAUGAUAAACAUGGAGAUGUUCACCAUUGAAACUAAUCUCAACUCACGUGAUGAUCGGACUUGAGUUAGUGAAUUUGGAUCAUGCACUACUCGAAUGACUAGAGGGAUGUCUAUUUGAGUGGGAAUUCUUAAGUAAUAUGAUUAAUUGAACUCAUUAUCAUGAACAUAGUCAAAAGGUCUUUGCAAAUUAUGUUGUAGCUUGCGUUGUAGCUCUACUGUUUUAAAUAUGUUCCUAGAGAAAUUUUAGUUGAAAAUUGAUAGUAGCAAUUAUACGGACUGGGUCCGUAAACUGAGGAUUGUCCUCAUUGCUGCACAGAAGGCUUAUGUCCUUAAUGCACCGCUCGGUCUGCUAAAGCUUGAGCAUCGUCUGUGGAUGUUGUGAACAUCUUACAUACAUGUUUUUGAUGACUACGUGAUGGUUCAGUGCGUAAUGCUUAACGACUUAGAAUUGAGGCGCCGAAGACGUUUUGAAUGUCACAGAACAUAUGAUAUGUUCCAAGAGAUGAAAUUGUGAUUUCAUGCUCGUGCCCUUGUUGAGAGGUAUGAGACAUCCGACAAGAUUAUUUGUCUACAAAGUAAGGGAGAAAAGCUCAAUCAUUGAGCAUGUGCUCAGAUUGUCUGAGUGCUACAAUCGCUUGAAUCGAGUGGGAAUUAAUCUUCGAGAUAAGAUAGUGAUGGUUCUCCAAAGUCACUGCCACCAAGCUACUAGAGCUUCCUGGUGAACUAUAACACAUGAGAGAUAGAUAUGAUGAUCCUUGAGCUAUUCACUAUUUUGACACUCCGAAAGUAGAAAUCAAAAAGGAGCACCAAUUGUUGAUGGUUAGUAAAACCACUAGUUUCAAGAAGGGCAAGGGCAAGAAGGGAUACUUCAUGAAACUACAUCGCACGCUCCCUUUACCAUCGAGAUUAGUGUUAAACCUAUAUAAUUGUUAUUUGGUGUUUGCGUUGAGCAUAGACAUGAUUAGAUUGUGUUUAUCGCAACACGGUUAUUCAUUUAAAGAGAAUAAUGGUUACUCUAUUUAUUUGAAUAAUACCUCCAAUGGUCUUGCACCUAAAAUGAAUGGUUUAUUGAAUCUCGAUCGUAGUGAUACACAUGUUCAUAAUAUUGUUGCCGAAAUAUACAAAGUAGUAAUGAUAGUACCACUUACUUGUGGCACUGCCGCUUGAGUCAUAUUGAUGUAAAACGCAUGAAGAAGCUCCAUACCGAUGGAUCUUUGGACUCACUCGUUUUUGAAUCGUUUGAGACAUGAGAACCAUGCCUAUUGGUGUAAAGGCAUGAAGAAACUCCGUGUAGAUGGAUUGCUUGGACUCACUAGGUUUUGAAUCACUUGAGACAUGCAAAUCAUGCCACUCGGGCAAGAUGACUGAAGGCCUCGUUUUCAGUGAGAUGGAACAAGAAAGUAACUUAUUGGGAGUAAUACAUUUUGAUGCAUGUAGUCCAAUGAGUACUGAGGCACGCAGUGGAUAUCGUUAUGUUAUAACUUCACAGAUGAUUUGAGUAGAUACUAGUGUAUUUGCUUGAUAAAAUGCAUGUCUGAAUUAUUGAAAGGUUCAAGUAAUUUUAGAGUGAAGUUGAAGAUCAUCGUGACAAGAGGAUAGAAUGUCUAUGAUAUGAUAAUAGAGAUGAAUAUCUGAGUUGCGAGUUUGGUACACAAUUAAGACAAUGUGAAAAUUGUUUCACAACUCAUGCUGCCUGGAACACCAUAGUGUGAUGGUGUGUCCGAACGUCAUAGCUACGCCCUAUUGGAUAUGGUGCAUACUAUGAUGUCUCUUAUCGAAUUAUCACUAUUGUUUUUGAGUUAGGCAUUAGAGACAACCGCAUUCACUUUAAAUAGGGCACUAUGUAAUUCCGUUGAGACGACACCAUAUGAACUAUGGUUUGGAGAAACCUAAGUUCUCGUUUCUUAAAAUUUUGGGGUUGCGACGCUUAUGUGAAAAAGUUUCAGCCUGAUAAGCUCGAAUCCAAAGCGGAUAAAUGCAUCUUCAUAGGAUACCCAAAAUAGUUGGGUUCAUCUCCUAUCUCAGAUCCGGAAGCAAAGUGUUUGUUUCUAGAAACGGGUCCUUUCUCGAGAAAUUGUUUCUCUCGAAAGAAUUGAGUGGGAGGAUGGUGGAAACUUGAUGAGUUUAUUGAACCGUCACUUCAACCAGUGUGUAGCAGGGCGCAAGAAGUUGUUCCUGUGGCGCCUACGCCAAUUGAAGUGGAAGAUGAUGAUAGUGAUCAUGAAACUUCGCAUCAAGUUACUACAAACUUCAUAGGUCGACAAGGUCACGUACUGCUCGAGAGUGGUACGGUAACUCUGUCUUGGAGGUCAUGCUUUUGGACAACAAUGAACCUACGAACUAUGGAGAAGCGAUGGUGGGCCCAGAUUCAGACAAAUGGCUGGAGGCCAUGAAAUCCGAGAGAUGAUCCAUAUAUGAAAACAAAGUGUAGACUUUGGAAGAACUACUUGAUGGUUGUAAGACUGUUAAGUACAAAUGGAUAUUUAAAGGAAGACAGACGAUGAUGGUGAAAAGUCACCAUUAAGAAAGCUCGACUUGUCGCAAAGAUGUUUCUGACAAGUUCAAAGACUUGACUAUGAUGAGACUUUCUCACUCGUAGCGAUGCUAAAAGUCUGUUGGAAUUAUGUUAGCAGUUGCUGCAUUUAUUUAUGAAAUCUUGCGGAUAGGAUGUCCAAACAUUGUUUCCUCAAUGGUUUCCUUAAGGAAAGGUUGUAUGUGAUACAACCAGAAGGUUUUGUCGAUCCUAAGGAUGCUAACAAGUAUGCAAGCUCCAGCGAUCCUUCUAUGGACUGAAGCAAGCAUCUCGGAGUUGGAAUAUACACUUUGAUGAGAUGGUCAAAGAUUUUGGGUUUAUACAAGGUUUGUGAGAAACUUGUAUUUCCAAAGAAGUGAGUGGGAGAACUAUAGAAUAUCUGGUUAGAAUAUGUGAUUGACAUAUUAUUGAUCGGAAAUAAUGUAGAAUUUCUGGAAAGCAUAAAGGGUUGUUUGAAAGGAGUUUUUUACGGAAAACCUGGAUAGAGCUACUUGAAACAUUGAACAUCAAGAUCUAUAGAGAUAGAUCAAAACGCUUAAUAGAACUUUCAAUGAAAUGCAUGCCUUGACAAGUUUUUGAGGAAUUUCAAAAUAGAUCAGCAAAGAAGGAGUUCUUAGCUGUGUUGUAAGGUGUGAAUUUGAGUAAGAGUCAAAGCCCGACCACGGCAGAAGAAAGAGAAAGGAUGAAGGUCGUCCCCUAUGCAUUAACCGUAGGCUCUACAGUAUGCGAUGCUGUGUACCGCACCUGAUGCGUGCCUUGCCAUGAAUCUGUCAAGGGGUACGAAAGUGAUCCAGGCGUGGAUUACUGGACAGCGGUCAAAGGUUAUCCUUAGUUACUAGUGGACUAAGGAAUUUUUCUUGAUUAUGGAGGUGAUAAAAGAGUUCGUCGUAAAGGGUUACAUCGAUGCAAGCUUUGACACUAAUCCGAAUAACUCUGAGUAGUAAACCAGAUUCAUAUAGUAGAGCAGACAUUUGGAAUAGUUCCAAAUGGCGCGUGGUAGGAGCAUCUAUAGGAUUACAUAGAUAUUUGUAAAGCACACACGGAUCUGAAAGAUUCAGACCUGUUGACUAAAAAUCUCUCUCACAAGCAAGAUAUGAUCGAACCCCAAAAAUAUGUGGGUGUUAGAUUCAUUACAAUCACAUAGUGAUGUGAACUAGAUUAUUGACUCUAGUGCAAGUGAGAGACUGUUGGAAAUAUGCCCUAGAGGCAAUAAUAAAUUGUUUAGUAUUAUAUUUCCUUGUUCAUGAUAAUCAUUUAUUAUCCAUGCUAGAAUUGUAUUGAUUGGAAACUCAAAUACAUGUGUGGAUACAUAGACAACACACUGUCCCUAGUGAGCCUCUAGUUGACUAGCUCGUUGAUCAAAGAUGGUCAAGGUUUCCUGCCUAUAGACAAGUGUUGUCACUUGAUAACGGGAUCACAUCAUUAGGAGAAUGAUAUGAUGGACAAGACCCAAACUAUAAACGUAGCAUAUGAUCAUGUUAUUUUGUUGCUAUUGUUUUCUCCAUGUGAAGUAUACGUUCCUAUGACCAUGAGAUCAUGUAACUCGUUGACACUGGAGGAAUGACUUGGGUGUAUCAAACGUCGCAACAUUACUGGGUGACUAUAAAUGUGCUCUACAGGUAUCUCCGAAGGUGUUCAUUGAGUUAGCAUGGAUCAAGACUGGGAUUUGUCACUCCGUGUGACAGAGAGGUAUCUCGGGGCCCACUCGGUAAUACAACAUCACAAACAAGCCUUGCAAGCAAUGUGACUAAAGAGUUAGCCACAAGAUCUUGUAUUACGAAACGAGUAAAAAAGACUUGCCGGUAACGAGAUUGAAAUAGGUAUGUCGAUACUGACGAUCGAAUCUCGGGCAAGUAACAUACCGAAGGACAAAGGAAAUGGUAUACGGGAUUGUGUGAAUCCUUGACAUAGAGGUUCAACCGGUAAGAUCUUCGUAGAAUAUGUAGAAUCCAAUAUGAACAUCCAGGUCCCGCUAUUGGAUAUUGACCAGAGAGUGUCUCGGUCAUGGCUGCAUGGUUCUCGAACCCGCAGGGUCUGCACACUUGAGGUUCGAUGAUGUUUUGGUAUAGUUGAGUUAUAGGUGUUGGUGAACGAAGGUUGUUCGGAGUCCCAGAUGAGAUCCUAGACGUCACGAGGAGCUCCGGAAUGGUCCAUAGGUAAAGAUUGAUAUAUAGGAAGUCCACUUUUGGUCACCAGAAAGGUUUCGGGCUCAUUGGUAGUGUACUGAGAGUGCCGAGAGGGUGCCUGGGGACCACCGGGAGGGGUGUGACGACCCAAGAGCCUUGUGGGCUAUGAGAAGAGGUGGACCAGCCCCUGGUGGUUGAUAACCCACAAGUAUAGGAGAUCAAUUGUAGCCUUUCUCGAUAAGUAAGAGUGUCAAACCCAACGAGGAGCUAAAGGUAGGACAAAUAUUCCCUCAAGUUCUAUCGACCACCGAUACAACUCUACGCACACUUUACGUUCACUUUACCUAGAACAAGUAAGAAACUAGAAGUACUUUGUAGACGAGAAAGGAUAGGUUUGCAAGAAAAUAAAGAACACGUAAAUAAAAACUAGGGGCUGGUUAGAUAAAGAAACAAUUACGUUAGUUUAACGAGUGUGGAAAAGUGGUGGUAGGAGUUGCGGAAUUGUCCCUAAGCAAUUGACUAUGUUACUAGACCGAUAACAAGUUUUAUGUGGGAGAGGCCACUGCUAGCAUGUCAUCCCUUACUUGGAAUUCUAUGCACUUAUGAUUGGAACUAUUAGCAAGCAUCCGCAACUACUAACGUUCAUUAAGGUAAAACCCAACCAUAGCAAUAAGAUAUAUUGGUCCCCCUUCAAUCCCGUAUGCAUCAAUUUCUAUGCUAGGCUGAAGCUUCUGCCACCCCUGCCCUCCAAUACAUAGUCCUAUCAACAUACUACUAACCCUAUGGUGUGAUCCACGCGCGCUCUCAUAUGAUGGGCACCAAAGGACAGCAACAUAAUGAUACGUCUCCAACGUAUCUAUAAUUUUUUAUGGUUUCAUGCUAUUAUCUUGUCAAACUUUGGAUGUUUUGUAUGCCUUUUAUAUUUGUUUUGGGACAAACUUAUUAACUCAGUGCCAAGUGCCAGUUCCUGUUUUUUCCGUGUUUUUGACCCUUUUCAGAGGAGGAUUUUAAACGGAGUCCAAACGGAAUGAAACUUCCAAAAAGAUUUUUUCCGAAACAGAAGACGAUCAGGGACUUGAGAACCAAGUGAGGGGCCCACCAGGGACCCCACAAGCCCCCUAGCCGCAGCCAGGGGGGCGCACCUCCCAGGCUUGUGGGCCCCCUGGGCCUCCUCUGCCCUAGGUCUUUCGCCUAUAUAUUCCCAUAAAUUCCAGAAAAAAUCAGGGGAGCCACGAAAACACUUUUUCGCCGCCGCAAGCUUCUGUCUCCGCAAGAUCCCAUCUGGGGCACGUUCUGGUGCCCUGCUGGAGGGGGAUUCGGAUACGGAGGGCUUCUUCAUCAACACCAUGACCUCUCCGAUGAUGCGUGAGUAGUUCACCAUAGACCUAUGGGUCCAUAGCUAGUAGCUAGAUGACUUCUUCUCUCUCUUGGAUCUUCAAUACAAAGUUCUCCAUGAUCUUCAUGGAGAUCUAUCCGAUGUAAUCUUCUUUCGCGGUGUGUUUGUCGAGAUCGGAUGAAUUGUGGAUUUAUGAUCACAUUAUUGUUGUAAAUAUGCCCUAGAGGCAAUAAUAAAUUAGUUAUUAUUAUAUUUCUUAGUUCAUGAUAAUCGUUUAUUAUCCAUGCUAUAAUUGUAUUGAUUGGAAACACAAUACUUGUGUGGAUACAUAGACAAAACACUGUCCCUAGUAAGCCUCUAGUUGACUAGCUCGUUGAUCAAAGAUUUUCAAGGUUUCCUGGCCAUAGGCAAGUGUUGUCACUUGAUAACAGGAUCACAUCAUUAGGAGAAUCAUGUGAUGGACUAGACCCAAACUAAUAGACGUAGCAUGUUGAUCGUGUCAUUUUGUUGCUACUGUUUUCUGCGUGUCAAGUAUUUGUUCCUAUGACCAUGAGAUCAUAUAACUCACGGACACCGGAGGAAUGCUUUGUGUGUAUCAAACGUCACAACGUAACUGGGUGACUAUAAAGAUGCUCUACAGGUAUCUCCGAAGGUGUUCGUUGAGUUAGUAUGGAUCGAGACUGGGAUUUGUCACUCCGUGUGACGGAGAGGUAUCUCGGGGCCCACUCGGUAAUACAACAUCACACACAAGCCUUGCAAGCAAUGUGACUUAGUGUAAGUUACGGGAUCUUGUAUUACGGAACGAGUAAAGAGACUUGCCGGUAAACGAGAUUGAAAUAGGUAUGCGGAUACUGACGAUCGAAUCUCGGGCAAGUAACAUACCGAAGGACAAAGGGAAUGACAUACGGGAUUAUAUGAAUCCUUGGCACUGAGGUUCAAAUGAUAAGAUCUUCGUAGAAUAUGUAGGAUCCAAUAUGGGAAUCCAGGUCCCGGUAUUGGAUAUUGACCGAGGAGUCUCUCGGGUCAUGUCUACAUAGUUCUCGAACCCGCAGGGUCUGCACACUUAAGGUUCGACGUUGUUUUAUGCGUAUUUGAGUUAUAUGGUUGGUUACCGAAUGUUGUUCGGAGUCCCGGAUGAGAUCACGGACGUCACGAGGGUUUUCGGAAUGGUCCGGAAACAAAGAUUGAUAUAUAGGAUGACCUCAUUUGAUUACCGGAAGGUUUUCGGAGUUACCGGGAAUGUACCGGGAAUGACGAAUGGGUUCCGGGAGUUCACCGGGGGGGGGGCACCCACCCCGGGGAAGCCCAUAGGCCUUGAGGGUGGCACACCAGCCCUUAGUGGGCUGGUGGGGCAGCCCAAAAGGGCUCUAUGCGCCAAGGAGAAAAAAUCAAGAGAGAAAAAAAAAA
rnacentral:lncRNA from 1 species